rnacentral:lncRNA from 1 species
ACUGGUCCUCGAGAGAACCCAGAGGGGUCUGGGACAAAGGGUCCCAGGGGGGCUGGGUUUUAAUAAGGUCAGGAGCAGGCCAGGAAGCGGUGGAGAUGGAAGAAAGCAUUUGUUCGAGGAAGUCGUCGUGGGACGACGUCGUCGAGUCGAAGUGGUGUGCUUGUUGUUGGCCGUUUUGGAGGUCGUGGAGUUGUUGGUUAAGGAGGGAAUUCAUGGCUUGCAUUUCUCUGCUACUGCUACUACCGGGUUGCAUUUUCUGUGAACGUAGGAGAAGUUCUUGAGCCUUAAAUUUCACGAAUAACGAGAGAACUUAAGCUAGCAAGUGAUUCGUCUUCUUUUCUUUUCUACUAUACGAUACGAUGAUUUUCGGCACUCGCGGGACGAGAGAGAGAGAGAGAGAGGACUUUAGUUGUCAACUGUGCUACGAGACUCGAAUAGAAGUCGAGAAAUAGUAGGAAGUGGCAAGUGAUGGAGGAAGAAAGGGCUGUUGUUACUGGUUUUUGAAGACGAGAAGAGGACUGUGAAGAAGAAGUUUUGUGUUUGGAAAUGGAAUGUUUCGAGUAGCCAUGUAUGUAGAUUUGUGGGAACUUCUUCGAGUGAAUAAAUAGUAGUGUGUUUAAGCAUUAUUAUUGCUUCUUCUGCUGUUUCUUUUUUCUUCAAAAAAAAAAAAAAAAACUAGUAGUAUUUCCUUUUUAUCUUUUUUGUUUUUUGAGAUCUUUUGGUUGUAUUCUUAAGUAGGUUCUGUUCUACAGUUUGGGGAUUUUGUUUUGAUAUUGGAUGGAUUCACACUUGUAAGCUCUCCUGCCACUUACACAUCCAAAUCAGUGAAUCAUACGCGCUUUCGGUUUUUUGUAGUGUCGUUCUCUUUUGCAGAAUAUAUAUAUAUAUAUAUAUAUAUAUAUAUAUGUUUUUCAUCAUUAAUUGAAUGAACAAAUAAACUCUCAUACUUAGUACAUUUCAAAGUAUUCUGAAAAAUAUUUGCACUUUUCGAUUAAACUCGUAAUAAACUUUUGAUGUUUUUAUAGUUCAUGCAUUAUACUUUAAUUUUUUUUUAAAAUUAAAAUUUAAGGACAAUAAUUUAUCUCUCUAAUUAUACACAAAAUAAUAGCCACAUAUAACAUAAUUAUAUAAAUUUAUAUAUAAAGGUAAAGAGGCGAUAAAACUUUAAUAAAUUUAUACACGAGGUCAAGAGUUUAAAUCUGUAUAAAUAUACCAUAAGUUUUUUUUUUUUAAAUAUAUAUAUAUAUAGUAGUUUUAACCAUAUUUUUAAUUCCAUGAAUUUCAAAUAUAUUUUUACCAUUCACGUACGAAUUUAUAGGCGUAAUUUUGUUGAACAUGUUUUCUUGCUCCGAACUUUUAAUUAUACCGAAUUACAGAUAUAAAGAAUGGUAAGAGUUUAGACCGUACCGUUUGAUAAGGUACACUUUGUGAUGGGUUGUUCCCACUACUAAUAUUAUCACGACAUGAUUAUAGAUACUCAGUGCUACCAAAUUAUUGCAAUCAAGCUUCCUCUAUUUCCUUCUACAAAAAGCUCGAUCAAUAGUGCGCAGCAAAGUUUUUUUUUUUUUUUUUUUUUUGGAUAAAACAUCAUAAUUUCAUUAAAAUUUACACUAAUGAUAGAAGUUAUACCAUCAAAUAUACACAGAUAUCAAAGAAUAAAUCUGAAAAAUGGAUGCUAUAGAUAUAAAAAAAAAACAGAUAAAAAUUAUACUGUAAACUCCAAAAACAUAUUUUGUUCCAAUCCAAUCUUAAUUCAAGGGCUGAUUCGGAUAAUUGUCGGUUAAGUGAUUUGAUGAUGAAGGGCAAAAAUGAGAAUGACUUCCCUUAUUCAUUUUCUCAUCUUCGCCCUGUCCAGAAUGUCACCCUGAUUGCGAGGGGGUGGACAAAGAUUUGCUGAACCACAAGCGGAAAUUAGAAACUUGUUGGGCCGUGAUACGAAAGCGCGCGGCUUUCCCAUAUUUUACUCUUAGUUAAUGGACCAUUAAGUCCUCCGAUGCACCCAAAAAAAAUUGCUCUCUUAAUGAAGGUUGUUCGGAUUGCAUUUUCUACGAUUUUUCAUGAAAAAAUUACUGUAGCGAUUUGAUGUAUACGAGAGAAAAAGGUAAUAGGAAAAUGUGAUCGUGGAAAACGAUGUAAUUUUCUGAUAAAAAACUGCAAUCCACACAAGAAUCAAUUCCAAUUUAAAUAGACAGCGGUAAACAUUGAAGGACCUUUGUCUUUUGUUACUUUUUAUAUUUUUCGGAAUGUAAAGAGAUAGUGAAGAAUAUCAAGGCCAUUCUUUCAAUUCUCUUAAAAGGUGAAAGAAAAAUAAGUAACGUAAUGUUGUGCACAUUGAUUUUAAAUGGGCUUAUAGGAUUGCAAGACUUUUAACCUAGAAUUAAGAGAAGGUAUGUUUAUGCAUCGAUGUAAUUUCACAACUACAUACAUAUAAGCAUACUUGCGUCUAUACUGCAUAUGCACCCAUAGUAGUAAAUUAGAUUAUCUUCGAAUGACCAAAAUCAUUUAUAUAUUUUACGUUCAUGGUUCCCAAUUUUUUUAAAAAAACUUGGGUUCCCCGUGACAUCUUGCAACAACGUGAUGGCCUUAUUAAAUAGGCGUUGCUAUUUGUGAAUAAUACUUUCUCGUCUGGAUUGCUAUAUUUUAGAGUUUCUGUGAAUAAAUGUACUGUAAUAAGUAAUUUGAUAUAUGCGGAUCGAUUACAAAAAAUGAUUGGAAAAUGUAAUCGUCAAUAAUUUGAUAGAAAAAUGCAAUGCAAACACUUAUUCACGAUUAUAGUGAAGAAUGUAAAAUACACCAAUCACCAAAAGAUCUACGUGCAACUUGGAACAUUUUUUUUUUUAAAGCAUCUUGCAUGAUGCUAUGUGUGAUUAAGCGUGAUUUGCUAGAACUACUAGUGAGGUGCAUGUACAUUGCAUCAUUUGAGAUCCAGUAGACAGACGAAUGAAUCGUAUUAAAUAAAUGAGCCAUGACUAAAAUCUUACCCUGUUGAUGUUACGACAACGAGUAAUUGAUUUAAAUUAAGAUUCAUAGAGAGAAUUAAAAAAAAUUCUCUUAAAAAUACAAUAAUGCUGCAGCAGCAGCAGCUAGCUGCUUAGCAGUUGAAUAUAUCUACAAUUAUUCUGAUAUUAUGGAUGCCUUCGGAAUAUAUCUACAAAUAAGUACAUGAAAAGUCAUUCAAGUCCUUUUUUUUUUUUUUUAUCUUAUCGUUUCUUGAGAAAGAGAGAGACUUUACAAGCUUAUGAUCAAUAAAAAUCAGUAAAGCUAGACACUUGUGAAGACGAAGAAUUUGUAGGUAUACGUCCUUUUCCUGCACCUAUCACUGACUCUUUCAUUUACAUGUUAAGAUCCUUCUUUACAGCUCGCCACCACACAAACUAUUGAUAAAAAGAUGAGCUCCAUUGAGUUUCAUUACAAUUAUCAUAUCAACUGAAAAGGCAGGAAUCUUAAGCCAAGUGCACAUCUUGACAACGUAUGGAAAUAUUAGGGAAAAAAAUAUUAAUAACAAUUGAUAAGCUCGACAUUUCUUAGACAGCGAAACAUUUUAAUGUCUAGUUGGUAAGAUGUUUCUUCAUCUGUAACCGAGAGAUUACGGGUUCAGAGUCAUAAACUGCUAUUGAUCCUCUUAAUAAAAACGAAAAAACAAGUCCGAAAAAGCUUGUAUUUAUUUUUGAGAGAAAAAAAAAAAAGAAGAAGGAAGCGUGCUUGGGUUUUCCUUAAUGUUUCUAGAUUAUUUUCAAUUUUUUUUUUUUCCGUUUGACUAUGGAGUUAUCGAUCAGAAACAUCUAGCAGGCGGGUUUCUAAAUUCGUAAUUUUUGUGUUCCAUAGCCAUUAGGAAAGGACCAAAUCCAUUCGAAUUUUCAAAAUAGUCUCUUUAAAGAAUCACUUUUCUGUAUAUAUGUAUGUUAAUUAUUAAAAGCAAAAGCAAAAGAGAAAUGACUUGGAGAGAAUUUCUUGAGAACAAACAAACAAUGAUUGUUAAUUGAUGGAUGAUAUGCUCGUCCAUAUCACACAAAUCUUUCAUAAUCACGAAGGAUUAUCAACUGUCUCGAGAACUCUUUGAAUGACUAAACAUUCCAUCAUUGUUUUAAUAUGACGCACUAUAAGUAGAAUUGUACUUGGAAGAAGGCCAAAAAAAAAAACAAAAGAAGAAAAGAAUGAAAUAAUAGGAACAGGUAAUGAUAUUUAGAAAUCUUUCUAUUAAAAAAAACUAGAAAACGAAAACAUUACAUGGCUUCACAUAUUAGGCAUGAUUUCGUUUUCUAGUUUUUUUUUUCUCUAAUGAUAAUUCACCUAAAACAGGAAUGAAAAAAAAAAGAAAGGAAAAAAAAACUUAAAACAGAAUGACGGAGGAGGAAAAAGAAAAGGGUUUAUCCAUACUUGACAAAAAAAAAAAAAAAAACGAGCCAAUUGAUUAACUAGAAAAUGUAAGUUUAAUUAAAAAAAGAGAGAGAGAGAAAAAAAAAAGGAAAUCAGCGAGCUUAUAUUCCUAUUGAAUAAAAAAGAAAAGUGAGAUGCUCUUUACAAAAGUAAAGAAUUAAUAAUGUAUUAAUGAUUGGAAGCAUCAAAUUCAAAUCAAGAAUUUGUAGUUACAUUAUUAUAAUAACCGGAAAAUACACUAUAAUUUGUGUAAAGGCGACCGUGCUUUUGGCUGUACAUAUAAUUGAAGAUCUGAUCAUUUAUUCUGGUCAACCCUUAUUGCCAAUAUUUAAUUAAUAGUUGUAAUUAAAGUGACAGGGGUGUAAGUAAAUUCUACUAAUAUUUAUAGCACAAAAGCAUAUAUUCUGUCGGCUACAGAUCCUAAUACCCAUCCCCUUUUUAUAAUAAUAAUAAUAAAAAUAAAAUACAUUCUUACAAUUUGUACUUGCAGUCUAACAGCAGUUUGUUAAUAUUCCAUUUUUGAAACUUUUGUAAGGAUUUUCUAACGAGUAGCUCGAAAUAUUUAACGUUCCACUUAUUAAAAUAUCUAAAUUACACCUAAUUCAUCACGUGAACGUGAAUGUACGCACUCACAUUAUUUGUCUUCUGUAUUUAAAUGCUUUUUCAAAUUAGUUUCUCUUACUAAAAAAAAUUAACAGUUGGAACUAUUUAAAGCGAGUGUGUGUCUCCGAGGAUUUGUUAGCCUAUUAAGAAAAUUAUGGUUUAGAGUAACUAAUCUUGUUGGAUUAGCCGAUCGUAAUGGGAUUAAGUGCGGCCAUGUCAGUGAAGUGACACUCAUAUAUUUUGCUGUUUGCAUUACUUUAUUUUGAUUUCUUCUCUUUAAGUAUGAAAAUUGUGAGAUGGAGAGCUGAGUUUGUCUAAAUAAUAUAUUUGGAUUGAAAAUGUUUUUUUUUUUCAAUAUGUGAUUUCAUCUUGCAUAUAUAUUAACUGAACUCCCAAGCAAGAUUAAAGACACAUAAUUUCUGAAUUAUCAUGAUUAAUCUUGGGAUGAUUCUCAUCCAAUGCUGUUUGCCAAUGAGGAGCGUAAAUGAGGAAUUUCAACAGAUACCUAAGAUCGAAAGAAUACAAGAGAAAAAGAUACGAAUACAUUACUGUGAUCAACGGAUGGCUAGUGUAGAGUAGAGACAUACAUUAGCAUACUCGUACGAAUAACAAAUGUAGACUUCCCUCAUAUGCCUCAAUUUUCAUCAUCAAAAUAGACAAUAGGAGGCUACUCCAUCAAACAACAUAUAUAUAUAUAUUCAGUGCAAAAACAGAAUAAUAGAGGUUAUUCUUCACCUUUGUCUCCGACGUUAGCUCCAGGAGAACUAUUCAAGAUUCUAAUUAAUUCUAUGUAGUUGCUGUGUUGUUGUUAACAACACACGGAAAUUAUUGGGUACUAAUUAGCUAUUGAAAUGAUUAGCCCAUUGUGUAGGAUGGGCAUGGCAAGUUAAUCACAGUGCUCUUGACCUUAACCAUCAUGUUAAUGCUGUUGGUGAUGCCUUGUGAUCCUAUUCCACUGUCCUUAAUUCCCUGCACAUUAAAAUCAUAUUGUUCUUAGAGAAGAUGUGGAGGAUAGACUUGAAGAAAUGAACAUUGUAUAGAUGGUUUCUUGAUGACGUGCAUGACUAGGUUAGGCUUGUAAGUUCACCUGGAAGGGAAAAUGAUCCGGUCCACGAGCUGGAGCGGAGUUAAUCUGGACGGUUCCCGUCUCCAUGGCAUCGCUGAUCAACAUAGCUUUGUUGAUAUCUUUGGUGAAGACACAACCCUGUUUUUUUGGUGAUACGGAUCAAGAUGUUCAGAAAAAGAAGCACAGAAAAAUCUUUUGAGGCUGAGAUAUUUAGAUGGUAAGCUAGAUGAGUUUAUACCUGUAGGCCAAAAUUGCUUGCAUUGCAAUGGUGAAUUCCUUCUUCAGCAGAGGUAAUCCUAAUCACUGGCAAAACUGGCCCAAAUGGCUCCUCCCAUGCUAUCCUCAUGUCUGGCCUAACAUGGUCUAGCAAAAGUGGCCAGAUGAGAUUGCCCUCUCUUUUGUAUUCCUGGCAAAAUGUUGCGCCCUUCUGCUUAGCAUCCAUAACUAACCCUUCAAUGAAGUUUGCGAUGACUCUGAGACAACUGCAGUGAUAUCACAAUCAUCUUCGGGAGGUCCAACUUUUAGUUUUGCUACUUUGGCAUUUACUUUUGCAACAAGAUCAUCAGCCACAGAUUCCAUCACCAAAACAACCUUAACAGCUGUGCACCUUUGACCACUGUUAAAGUCCAACAAUCAGUUAGAAGUUCUGGCUGAUUACAAUAAAAACAACACGCGAUGCAGCGUAGAGCUCCAUCCAUUUCCUGAGGCAGCUAAAGGGUGUAAAAGGCAGUGCCUAAAUCUUGUCCACCAUUACCACCCUCUACAUUAUAUGGGAUAGAGGUUCUUCUACUUGUGAGGAGCAUGAGAUUGAUCCUAAAAUUCUGAAUAAGUUCCAAAACUUGGAUCUUUAGUAGUACGACCAAUCUAAACUAGCAAAGUCCAGUCAUGUGUCUACAUUAGAUCACUCAAAGACAUUGGCUGUAAUAACCUAUUUGUGGGGAAAAUUGAACUCUGAUAUCCAUCUCCACCAAGCAUUCAUUUUCCUAAUUUUAUGUUUCAAUUUCAAGUUAUGUUAGACAUUUAAUUGUUAUUUUAUUCAUCAACUCCCAACUUAUGAUGUCAGUGGAUGAAUAUUCUUUAGUGAGUGGGCCUAAUUUUUUCUGCAAUCAAGUGCUUUUCUAAUCCUUUUAGCCUUCAUGUUUUGACUAAUGCAACAGCAAUAAUGCCAUCUUCGUUUAUCCAAUUCAACCUGGCAUGUAUUCAUUCAUACGAGUCGCAAGCAUCUUUCCUUGCUUAAUUUCAAGAUGAAUGAUGAAGACAGCAAUUUAUGUGCAUGGCACACAGACCAAAAAUAGAGAAAUGGCGACUCGAACAAUUUCAGAGGUUGAAAUUUCAAUGUUGGUACCAAGUUUUAGAUUGAUAAAGCAAGUUUUCUAGAGCACCAUAAGCAAAAAAGAGAGAUGCUAAACCUGUAAGAAAAACCUCCUUUGACAAUAUUUGCUGCAACCAAAUCUAAAUCUGCAUCCUCAAGGACAAUACAAGCAUCUUUUCCUCCCAGCUCCAUUUGUAAGGGGAUCAUGCCUGCUUUCUUUGAGAUCGCAAUCCCAGUGUCACCGCCAGUAAAGCUACAGAAAGCACACAAUUUGUACUAUCAGCAUUACUGGAAAAAGUGGCUUAGGAAACCACCAAGGAUUAAGAAAUUUGGUUUACCUUAUACAGUUCACACCAGGAUGCAUGGUGAGGAAAUCACCAAUCUCAGAACCUUUCCCAGUGACACAGUUAAUAAGGCCCUUUGGAAAGCCAGCUAAGUGGAAACAAUGAACCAUAUGUAGGGCUGACACAGCACCCUGUAUCAAAGAAACAAGGCACUCUUUUAGGUAACCAAGUCCCUAUGCACAAGAAGUAUAUGCAUUGCACUUUUGGAGCACAUGUAGCCCAAAAAGUACGUGGAGAAAGAAUUAUUACUCGAAAAGAAACCAAUGAAAAGUCACAACCUAACAACUCCCAUCAAGCAUUCGAAUAGACCAAACUGUGAAUGCUUCUACUCCAUGGUUAUAUCGUUGGAGAAUACAUAACAACUAGCCAGCUUGCUUAAAUCCUACAUGCAGCAAUUAGUAAGUUGCAUGGAAGUACCUGAGUUGGAGGCUUGAGAACAAUAGAAUUCCCAGCAAUCAAGGCAGGUGCUAGUUUGGAGACGGCAAGGUUAACAGGAUAGUUAAAGGGGGAAUGGCUAGGACAACACCGAGUGGGAUCUGUAUCACAAGAUUUGAUCAGUAUAAUAAAACCUCAGUAUCUUGUGAAACAAGCUUUCCUGAUUCUUUUGGCAAUGCUGGUCAGGCAAUUGUGAAAAGUAAGGCAUAGUAAUAAAGGAGCAAUUGAUGCUAAGUAUCUAAUGAGAGUUUUCCAUCACCAAUCAACUGAAUAUAAUUGAAGAAGGCCGCUGUUCUGAAGCUGCGCAUUAAAACACUCGAAUGCCGAUGACCAAGUAAAUUCAUCCAGAUUGGCAACUGAAAACAUGAUCUUGAACCUUUAAGGAAAUUCUCUAUUUGAUAUAGCUUCUUUUAUUUUCUAUGCUGGGACAUGAUUUCAGAUUAGGAAUACAUGUGAAGAUAGUUCAGUGGCAAUCAAGUUCACGGACAUCUUAAGUAGAAUUGCUGAUUCAAAAUGACAACGGAUUAGUAGAAGUCAUCUUAGAUGAGGCCAUUGCAAGUUGUGCAGGUUCCAGUCACUAAUUAGUAAGUCCAAACAAUCAACUAUCUUUGGCAUUAUUCUGCUUACAAUAGCAAAAUUAUGGCUAUUUAUUACUUCCCAACAUAUGACAAGCGACCUCUGCCAAAUUUUUGUGACACGAUUUUGAAACAAAGGUGGCAGCAUAGAAACUUUCAUUCCUCCGAAAAGAGAUCAUUUUAGUGAUUGAAUCCACGAAAAUUACGAUUCAUGCAAAAAAACCAAAUUUAAGAAGAUCAAAUUGCCAUAUAUAGUUCAUAAAGAUUAAGGAACUUCAGGUGUGUUAAUUCACAAUUUAUAUAUACACAUAGUACAAGAAAAAUGGAAUCACGAUCUGCAAUUUGUGACUGGAUUUUGCUACUUUGGUUGAGUAAAUAAACCAAGCGGUAAAGAGAAGAAAAUUUUAACUUUGUUAGUCCAAUAUUCGUGCAGUGCAUUGUGCAUCAAGUUUAGUAGAAAAUGAGAGCAAAAUGUACCUUGGAACUGAGGCAGUAUUUGGUCCUCUCAUUUCCAGGAAAACUAUCAGAGACCAAGUAUGUGCCCUGUCCCAAAAUCCUUACUCCUUCUUCAGCAGUGUAAGAAACCAGAUCUCCAGACCUCACAACCUUCAUCAAAUCCAAGUGACUAUUAUCAUUAUGUUUUGCUAACAAGAUCUUGAUUCUAUGUGCAAUGCACACUUGCUAGAGCAGCAAAUUUUCAAAAAGUACACAUAUCAGCUACCUCAGUGACAGCAUCUUUUGCUGGUUUUGCAAUCUCCUUUACUAGACAUUCUGCAAUUGGCGCUUUGUGCUCUUUGAGAAUAGCAGCGGCCUUGUGAAGCAGCUCUGCGCGCUUCCAAAGUGGAGUUUUGGCCCAUAACUUUUGUGCAGCCUUAGCUAUUUCCAUUACCUUGUUAACCUCUUCUUGUGUACAUGCUGGUUGAAAAUUUCAUAUAUCGAGAAUCAGAGGCCAAAUCUAGCCCCAAUCAAGGUUGCUCAAAUAAACUCGACAAUGACAGUAGCAAUAGUUCAUCUUACAUAUAACCAAAUUUCUUGGCAAUCCCCUACCGUUUCUUAGAGAAAAAAGCAAGAAGAUGUGGGUAAUAGUUAUGAUGUUGGAACUGGUCAGUUAAACAAGGUUCAGCAUUUCUGAAAAGGUGGAAGAGAAUUUCUUCAUAUCGAUUUAUCAAAAAUAACAAGAGUCCUUGUAUCCAACUGGAGUCAAAUUCGCUGGAUAAUGCCGAGAAAUUUCACAUAACAUGUAGUACUAAAACAAAGAAACCGUUUGACUUUUAAUUGUACAGUGAUCUCUUCAAGCAAGAGCUGCAAAAACCCUGUAAAAUUAUAGCUGGUGGGCCAAUUCUACAAUCAAAUAGUUCUACAGGCUACAGUACAAGUAGAAACCCAAAAGAAUCAAAGGCCAUCAUCAUCAAUUUCAAGUCAGACAUGCAUAACAAAAGUAAUACCUUGUACUUUGUACUGAGUUUUUCGCGUAGUUGGAUUAAUGAUGGAAACAGAUUUCCCAGAAGCAGACUUCUUCCACUCCCCUUCAAAGUAGUACUUGAACUCAUCUCCAUCAGUAAUCUCAGCAAAAACUCCACCCAGCCAUUGCUAAUUUAGACACUAAACUGCUUUUCCUCUCAAGACUGAUCAACCCUCUGAGGGAAAUAUUUAGCUUCAAAGCUCAGAGAAACAGAAUCAGGUUGUUUCUUCUGCUGCCCUGGGAGUAGCUACCUAACGAGUGAUGAUCACUGGUGUGUAUUUGGAGGUGGGGACCUAUAAAUAGAGGAAAAUGGUUAGCCACAUUUGGGCUUCAGGGAAUUCUGAGGCAUAGAUUUCUUGUUCUCUCGGAUUUUGACUUCAGCUUUUUGGACCAACUGGAUCGUGGCAGCUGUGGAGACAAAGAAAAAAAGAAAAAAGAAAAAGCCAAACCUUGGUUGAUGACUAAUCACUUUGAUAUUCAGCUCCGAGCCGUUGGAAAUUAAAUGUUAGUUGGCCACGUUUUUACUUGGUGUAUCCACCACAUGCAUUCAAAAUUUUUUUUUUUGGGUAAUAAUUUUGGGGAUUAAUUACUACCAUAAUGUUCUACACUUACUAGGUUGAUAUGAUAUAUUGCACAACACGACGUGCAGGUGUUUUCACUUCUUCCAUUGGAUUCUUUUUUGGUUCUUGUCUAUCUUUUUUUUUCUUCUUCUUCUUCUAAAUUUAUGGUUCUUGUUUUGUUGAUUUUACUAGUGUUUUUUUGGUUUUGCUGGUUCAAUUAUGGUGUGAAUUAGAUAGAAUUGUGAAGGUGAAAUUACCAUCUGUCGGAAUUUGGACCAGACGACCAAAUUUUGAAACAAUCGAAUCUAAAUCAGUGGAAGUUGGCCAUAACUCUGUAACCAAGAAUUUGACAAAUACAGAUGAAAUAGUCUUGCUCUAGGUUCGAGGGAAUAACAAGUUGGAUGUUUCGGAGGAGCAAGUGUAAAUAAAAAAUUCGAAUUCAAGUUAUCUUGCUUACAUUUUAAAAAAUAAAAGUCUAGUUUUGGGUUUCAUCAAUUACAAGUUAAAUAUUUCAAUAGUAAAAAAAAAAGGUGAACAAGCGUCAAUUUUUAGUAAAAAACCAAAAGAAUGUGUGUAACACCGUACAAACACAAUUCAAUGAAAGGGUAUCAUAAGCUUGAUAUCAAUUCCUAAUAUACAAAGUUUUGAGAUGUUUAAGUUGAAUUAGUUAAACAUUUUCUCUCAAAAUUAAGGAUGGAGCCAAAAGUUAAGCAUUUUUCUUCAUCCAAUUGGCUUGAUGAAAUGCAAUUAUUUUACAUCAUAGACCCUUCCAAGUUCCAAAAACCAGAGAAAAUCAGAAUAAUUAAGCAACAAAUUUUGGUGAAAAAGAUAGAAGAACCUUUUCUGGAGCUCGAGCAAAAAGUGAUGGUAGCAAGAACCCUUUUUUUUUUUCUUCCUUAGCAUGAAUCAAGACAAAUUUUAAGAACUUUUCCAAAUGCCUUUUUUUCCCCUUUUUUGAUAACUAUGGAUGUUCAUAAAUAUGUCAGCAGGAGCAGUCAACGGAAGUUGGAACCGUAUACAAUUCUUGUCCAGAUUAUGAAUAAAACUACAAGAGCAAUUCAAUCAAACAAACCCUAUCGGUUUCUGCAUGUUUCUAUAUCUUAUCUCCCUGCUACUGGGAAUGGGUAAUUCAACCAUGCUUCUCUUUCUUUCUCUUUUCUUUCCCAAGAAUAAAUGCUGUAACCAUUCUGUUUACGAAUAUUCUUUGUAUAUACUAGCGUGAUGGUUGAUCCUCCCCCAGUUUCCAUUGCAACGUUUUCAAUAUGUAACUUUCUUCUCAAAAGGAAGAGCUAGUAGAGAGUAGGGAGGCCAAAUGGACCAUUCUCUGCCAAAUCUGUCCUUCUCAUUUUGGAGCAUGAACUGAAGAAAAAGAACCCUCGAGGAGAUUUUCCCCUGUGGUCUUGGGUUUGGAAGGCCAAAGCAAAGUCCAAGAUUAAACAUUUUCUUUGGCUAGCUUGCCAAAGCAGACUGCCUUCUAAGCCAGUCCUCCUAGAGAGAAAUAUCACUGCUGACUCUUCUUGCCCUCGUUGCAACCAUCCCUGUGUAAGAUUCAGCACAUGUUCUUAGAUAUUGCUCCAUGCCUGACCCUUUUGGCAAAGCCUCAGCAUUCCUACCUACAUUGGUUGGUCAAUUGAUCUGGAUUUUACAUUUUGGCUUAAAAAUGGUUGCUUGUCAAAACAUAUUUCUCCUUUUUAUGGAAUCCCCUGGGGUACUUUUAUUUCUGUUGCCUGCUGGAAUCUUUGGAUUGCCAGAAACAAGGCUAUUUUUGAACCCUCUAACCCCUUCUCCAUCCUGCACAAUACUCUAGUAAUGGUGGCUGCAUACUCCUUUCUAGGACCUAUUCAGAGCUUAGCACCCUUAGAACUGAAGUGCUCAUUUUCUGGAUUCCCCCCAAACCUUCCUAUUUCAAAGUCAACACUGACGGUUCCUCCUUAGGGAAUUCGGUCCAGCGGGAUCAGGUGGCAUGAUCAGAAAUCACCUAGUCCACUGGGUAGCUGGCUUUAGCCGAAAAUUAGGCCAUGCUACUAAUGUCCUUGCCGAACUAUGGGGAACAAGGGAUGGGGAAUCCUUAGCUUCCUCUCUCAACUUGCAAAAUGUUGAACUAGAAGUUGAUGCUACAUCUGCUUUAGACUUGCUUAAAUCUGCUGAUAUCUCAACUCAUGAGCAUGCUUCAAUUAUCUCUGAUUCCCAAGUUUUUGAUCUCUGCUCUACCGAAAGUCACUCUUAGACAUGCUUACCGAGAAGCUAACAACUGUACAGACAAAUUGGCGAAACUGGAUUCUCAGCAAGAACGCAAAAUAGAACUUUCGUAUUCUAUGAAAGUGUCCCUCCCAAUUUAAGAAAACUAGAUGAAAAUAUUAAAGGAAUUUGCUUGCCUCGUUUUGUACCUAAUUCCUUUUCUUACCAAAAAUAAAAAAUUUUUUCUCCUAGCAUUGUCUCCACUUUCCAGUCAGAGGUAUGGAGCAGGUCAAUACCAAGCAACAGUACACUUUAUUACAGACUUUGAUUUGCAGAUUGAAAAUACUCCAUAAAUUCCAAGCUGCAGUUUCAAAUUUAAAAUAUCCAAGCUAUGUCCUCGGCACUAUUUUAAGAGUUUAGAGAAAUUAGUGCCUAUGUCUGAAGUGUCUUACUAGUUUUAAAUCAAUUGAGGAACACUUACAUUGUACCACUUGCAUCUUAAUUAACCAAUUAUUCUUGUUCAAAGCUAGAAUACUUAUCUUGACUACACAUGGUGAUGACUUAUGAUACAUAAAAUAAUAUGGUUCAAUGCUUAUAGUAAACAUCAAUCAUUUGAGCUUGUGACAUAUAAUUGGAUGGUCUGCGAAUUUAGAGUUUCAAAAUGAAAAAAAAAAAAAAAAGUUAUGAAGAACGGGCCAAGAGUUAUGAAAGAAGUGGCUUCAUGAUGGAGUAGCUGGAGGAUAAUUUGUGGCUUUGGCUAAGAGUCGGUGGGCUUCCCAACUCUUUGGGUGUGGUAGAGAUCGCCUUCUCUUUUAUCCUCUUCAGAACCACAAGUAUUGGUAGGAGUGGUGAUGAUCCGCCAAACCGUGCAAUCAUUUAGAAGCCCGUGUUUUACCAAAAGAUACAACAAACUGAUAUUCUUGUUUCUUUUUUUUUUAGCAACGAUACAUUUGUAUAACCUACUGUAUCUUAAAUCUAGGAAGAGGGGGAGGGGGAGCCUAAGGAAGCUGUGGUAGGGAACUAGUGGGUAUACAGACCCAAUUAGACCAAAGGAGUGCUCUGGCACAACUCUUAGAUUUUUUUCGCUACAGGUGAGAUUUUGAACCCUCACCUACAGCCCAAGGUUUGAUAUUCUUGUUUCAAACCACUUCGAUAUUUCCAAACCAAUUUACCACAAUCAAUUUCUGUUUUCACAACACUAGUAUUUUGGAGAUUGAAAAUGCCUUAGGAACUAAAUAACAUGACAAUAUAUAUAUAUAUAUAUAUUUUUUUCUUGUUACAACAAUUACUUUCUAACCUAUUUCUACACUGUGAGAAAAGGGGAAGGACUCAAUGGUUUGACAGGGGAGCAAAGAGGGGAGGAAGGCACCUUCAAUCCAAACUAAAGCAUUAAUUAGUGCACUAGUCAAGACAAAUUCCAAGAAAAUCCUAAGAAUAAUGCAGGCUACCUCAGAGGGACUCGAGUCCUUCGCGAUGGUCAGUAGAUCAAGGUCUCGGAAGACAAAAUGGACAGUACCCCUUAAAGAGCAGUGUUUAGUAUUAUUUAAUACCUAGAUUACCAAUAUGUGAAUUUUUUUGAAAAGGUUAUAUAUAAAUGUACAUCAAUUUUCAAUUUAAUUUCUCAAAAAAAAAAAAAAGUAAAAGUUCGACUAUAUAGAGUAGGAAUUCAUUCAGGAUAAAAGAUUACCUGACCAAAGCCCAUUAAAGCUUCAUCAAUCAUCAGUAAAUGCUUCACCGGAUUAAAUAGCACUGGACAUCAACUAAUAAUAAUAAAUGUUCCUUAGGCAAAUCCGUUAAAUUGUAGAUUUGUUAUUUCCAGUGCACGUUUAAUUUACCAUUAACAUAAUGACAUAAAUCAAAUUGUGCUGGAUGAUUUCUAAUUGUCCCUAAUAAAAUUUGCUUUUAUAAAAUGGAAAAGUCCUCUGGGGACAGCCAAAAAAUUACAUUUAUAGAGAAGAUUAGUUUAGUCCCUAUGCAAUUAUGACAGAAGAGAAAUAGUUUUACAAAAAUACCCAUUUCUCACGGGUGAUGUUACAAAAAUACCCAUUUCUGACUCCUCAUAAAAAUGGUACACUGCACAACUUGGCUUCCAUAGGGAUCUAUAAAGUGUAAUUACUUUUAAUUAAUUUAAAUGGGUUCUCUGUAUAAUUUUUUUUAUUUUUUAUCGGACUUUUUUUUCCCGAGUUUCUCAUCUAAGUUGAUGUGAUUAAAAUUAAAAAGAACAAAUUUUGUUUGAAUACUUGUUAAAAGAUUGAAGAUGUAAAGUGAAUUACUUUACCUCGCCCAUUAGCCCCCAAAUACCGUGUCAAUUUUGGAAAAUUGAAAUAGGUAACUUGAUUAUAAUCUUCAGAAAACCUAUCGGAAUUUGAUUAAUAUGUAUCAACUUCAUAAUUUUGUCCUGUACAUAAUAAGUCUACCUAUCUCGAUUGAAGAUUAUUUAGAGAGAAAAUUUUCUCUUUGAUGCAAGCAAGCGAUUAACAAAAAGAAAAAAAAGUGAUUGAAAAUAAUUUUUUUUUUUAAAAAAGUAAUAAGGAUGGGUGUUUUAAAAAUCUUAAAAGAAAAAUGCCAAAUAAUUGCUAUCCAAACAAACUCAAUAAUGUUAGAAAGUUUUCUAACGUUUUGAUUAAUCAAUAUGUGAAUUUCUUGACUACAUUCUCUACAUUAUUAAUAAGUGGAAAUUAAUUUCCAUCUACUUUCUCCAAAAUCUUUUUGACUACAAAUGUAAAAGAGUUACAAGUUCAUGAAAAUCACGGAUGUAACAAAGCCCAAAGUGGCGUCCCUUGGGAUGUAACUAAGGCCCAAAAGUGUCCCACAUCGACUAAAUAGCAGCUCCUUUAACUCUUUAAAUACACCAGCUCCGAAGGGAGCGAACGUCCCUUCGGGACAUCCGAUAAAAUUGGAACGAUACAGAGAAGAUUAGCAUGGCCCCUGCGCAAGGAUGACACGCACAAAUCGAGAAAUGGUCCAAAUUUUUUUUUACUAUACUGCCCAUACUCCUCACGUGUCUUUUACCGAAACACCCCCUCACUUGACGAUUCAAGGUCGGUGCACCAGGUCUCAAGUCCACCCGUAAUACAAGAUAGCCCCCUCCCCAAAUAUAAUAUAUAUCCUUGUAGUCGGAGAGUUUGGUGUUUAUUUCACGGUGGCGGGCGCCUGAAAUUCAUCCGGAGAGUUUCUUCGCAGGUACACUUUCUGUUUUCCAGCUCCGAUCAAUUUCUUGAAUAUUUUUGUGGUAAUACAAGCGAAUUCUGAUUUAUUUUUUGAAAAAAUGAUCACCAAAACUCAAAAAUUUCAAGUCUUUAUUCAAUCCCCUGAACUACAAAUCCAACCCAAGCUCUAAAUGUCGAAAACCCUAACCCUAAUUUCACUUUACAAGAUCUCAAAUCCUCUCUCUUCGCCAAAGCCCAUCAAAAUCUUAGCUCCCUUUACUUCACCUUGAAUGGUAAACCCCUCUCUGAUUCGACUAAGUUACCGAAUUCCCAAAUUGCUCCUCUUUCCACAUUAACACUUCGGUGCCGCCUUCUCGGUGGCGGUGGAGAUGGCGGCGCCACUGGGGCGGAAUCCGGGAUUGUUACCUUAACAUGUAUGCUACUAAAAAGCCCGAUAAAGUUGACCCGAAUGAGACGAGGCUGUCGAAAUGGCUGAAUUGUGCGAUUUCCAAUGAGCCGUUGAAGCGGCGCGGUUGUGAUCGAUAAGCUUGGGAAUUUGUUCAAUAAGGAGGCGUUAGUUGGGGCGUUGUUGAUGAAAAAGGUACCUAAGGAGUUUUGGUAUAUAAAAGGUUUGAAGGAUAUGAUCGCUGUCGAGUUGGAUGUGAUUCCUGGGUUGGAGGAUGAGAGAGGGAGUCGGACCGGGGCAAAGUUUCAGUGCCUAUAACGGGGUUGGAGUUCAAUGGGAAGUAUAAGUUUUCGCGUUGAGGUCAUGUGGACAUGUGCUGAGUGCGAAGGCAUUGAAGGAGGUUAAGUCGUCAGCAUGUUUGGUGUGUCAUAAGAGUUCUCUGAAAGUGAUAAGAUGCCGAUCAAUGGGAAUGAAGAGGAAGUGACGGUUUGAGAGAAAGAAUGGAAGCAGAAAGGGUUAAUAUAAAGGAUAAGAAGGUAAAGAAGGUGAAGACUGGGGUUUGGUGGCUAAUGGUGCUGAGGAUGGGUCAGUGGGAUUGCCAAGGUUGAGUGGGACAAAACGUGGAAUUGAUACUAAGGUACCUGACAAGGCUUCAGCCAAAGUGGAAGGAAAUUCCAAGCUCGUGUCGACUGGCAAAGUUGAGACGAAUGGAACAGCUAAGAGAUUCAAGGCUGUUGAUGCUGCCCCAGCUAAUGCCACGAAGGAAGUAUAUGCAUCUAUUUUUACUUCAUCAAGAAAGUCUGACUUCAAAGAGACGUUUACAUGCAGGUCACUGCCACUUGGGAGAAAUUAAUUGAGGUGGGAUUGUUAAGGUGAUCUUGUAGUGUUGUUUAGUUGCAUUGUAACCUGGGACUAUAUAUUGAUGAAGAAAAUGAAUUGUUUCCUCUGGUUAUUAGCUGCUGUGAUUUGCUAUACGGAAGCUUUCUGUUGAUGUAUCAUAUUAGCAGUGAUUGUACUGUGAGUAAUUACAUUGAUGACUUGCUUCCCUGAUUUAUGGAGUUAGAUCUGUUUCUUGUGGUAAUAUAUGUUUUCAUGAGAUGUCUCAAGUGCUUCCUUAUUUUCACAUUGUACAAUGAUCCAGCAGAUCAUUACGCUUUUCAACUUAGUUGAUGAAUAUAUACCUGAAAGAUUCUUUACUUCUAUACUGAUAAGAUUAAAAAUAAAAACUUGCAAACAUAAAUAAAAGAAAAAAAUGGUAACUGUGAAGAACGAAGACUUCUCAAUAUCUUGUAGCGACUGUGAUCUGAAGUCAUUUUCAGUCUGUAGUCAUGUGUUGUAGUUGGCAGCUGCCUGCAAGAUAUGAGAUAGGCAUUUAUAUCUGGCUAGCUCAUUGUAGCAUACUGAAUCAUUUUCUGAUAUGCUUACAUUUGAUGAAUUAUUGUGUUGAAGUUUUGUUAACAAUGAAUUGUGGAAGUCAAAUUUUUUUCUCCAUAAAUCAUUCUAUAAGUUUUAUAGAUUCUCCUAGCGCUUAAUAAUGCCAUUUACAGGAAGUCAAAAUUGUACAGCUGCCCAUCAUGAUAGUGGAAUUAGAUAUAAACAUGUAAUGAAUGUUCCAAGGCGUGGUGACCAAGUGGUGGAAAUUUGGAGGGUGUCAUGGGUAUUUAGUAGAGCUGUUUUUACCUUCUCUGAGUUGUACGUUUACUUGCUUUUUUCCUUGCAAAAGUUAGACAUUACCUUAAUUUUUUGAAUCAUGUGAUAUAUUGCUCAGCAAAUGAUUAUUAAUCAAGAUAAAAGAGGAAGUUUAUGGCCGACUGGGCAGAAUUAUUGGUUAGAACAUGAGACGUAAUCUCUAUUUUUCUUUGUUCUGGGUUGUGAGCUUAACAUCCCGUGCUAGCUUCUCGUGAGGCUAUUAGCCAACUAGUACUCAGAACAGGAGUUUUGCCAAGUUAACUUUAGAAGAUAAACAGGUGUUUUGCUUUCCAAAAUGGCUUGUUAAUCUUGUUCCCCUUUUCACAGUCUCUGAGCUUCAAUUCAAAGGGUAACUGCUUUGAAGCUCACUGUUCGUUGUAGUAGAUUUAGGUUCACCAUAUGCAGAAGGCAAGUAUGGAUUGCAUGUGCAGAAGCAUUUUGGCAGUUCUGGUCUCUGCUGCUGGAUUGCCGCUGCCAUCAGCGCAUUAUUCAUCGCUAUAGUUGCCAUCCAUCAAUGGCAUUUGUCCCACCGCUACCAUCAUUAUAUUAAGCUACUCGUGCCCGAUUUUUUUAAAUUAAUCUCUUCAUUUGCUUGAUUUGAAAAGUUUUGAAUAUAACGUGUCAUGUAAGUGGUGAAUUUCAACUUUCAGACCACAAUUGAAAUAAUUGAGGCUACAGAAUGCAAAAGAAAAAGAUUGAGUUCCUUUUUAAUCUCUCUAUGUAGACUCUUAUGUUAUGUAGACUCUUAUGUUUGUAUCCCAGAAUAUGGUAAAUCUUUCCUUUUACUCCAAUCAAAUGGUGGCUUUUGCUAACUUUUUUUUUUUUUUGGGCCUUUUAAUGGUCUAUGUUUUUUUUUAUUCAUUAGUCAUCUAAAGAUCAAUGGUUCUUGAAUGAAGAGAUGGCGUGAAAAAAAAAAUGGGAAUAAGCUGGGAGAAGGAGAAAGAAGGAAGAAAGAAGACAAAGGAAAAUCAAAAUUAAGAUUACGAAGGAGAUUUAUUAUAAUUAACCCUCACUUAAAAUAUUAGAAUCCCAUCUCAACUAGUUGGAAGAAAGAAUGUCAGACAAAAAUUACCUGUCUCACAGGAAUGAGCUUUCUAUCUACCAUUCUGCUGAAACAAACUAAUCCGUUUGGAUUAGCUGUUUUUUAGGGUAUUUUUGAAAUAUUUUAUUGUAACAAUGUAGUUGAAAAACUUUUACGUAGAUGAGUUUUUUUUAGGUUAUUUUUUGUAUUUUGUAUUUUUUAAGGUUUUUUUUUAUAUUUUUGUAUUUUUAAGUUGUCUUUGAUAUUUUUAAGUUAUUUUUGUUUGUGUAUUAAUGUAGCAUUGUAAAUUGCAAUUGAAAAACUUGUUUUUCAAAAAAUGAUCAAUCCAAAUGGAUUGAAGAAUUAACUGAAGCUUGGUUUAAUCUACAAGAGUUGUAUUUACGCAAGUUUAGACUUGGCAUUUGAAAAAUAAUAAAAUUAAAUCCCUCUCGAAGUGGAUCUUUGAAGAUAUCCUGGCUUGUUAUUCAAAGAAUAAAAGGUUUCUACUGAAUUUCUACUUUCCGUUUGUACUCAGAACAGCCAAAGUACCGUGGAACCUGAAAGGAUCUCUUUUGAUUCGUAAAGUACUAUAGGGUGGGGAAAAAAAUAACAUGGAGCACCGUUGCUCUCGUUGAGAGUCGAACUCAAGACCUCCCGCUUACUAAACGAGUGCUCUAACCAACUGAGCUACGAGAGCUUGUUGCAGUGCCUUCGCGUUCUUAUAAUGGUAGUAGAAUACAAGAAAUUCGUAUAUCCAACCAAAUAGUGAUCAAUUAAGUAAAAGAUAAAAUUUUCAUUUUUACAACAAGUGAAUCUUUUAUUUUAAUAAAUAAUUGAACUCUUUUAAUUUAUACUUCGAACUAGGGUCAAUACUAAAAUUCAAACUUCAACUAAAUAAAUUAUCUUCUCUAAAAAUUGGACACCAAGCAUGUUCAUGCCAGCAUAUGAGCACUAGUACAAAUUACUCAGUACUAUAUCAGAUGGACAUUUAAAAUUCUAAAUGGACAAGAUGUAAUAUUUUUUAAAAAAAAAUAAAAAAUAAAAACUUGGUUACUUUGCUUAUGAAUUCAUUGCUUUUCUUUUUUCUUUUAAGUACUUUUUAUGUAUCUUAAAUUCUGUGAUGGUAGACAUACUUGACAAAGACUAAAAGCUCAUAGCAGUUAAAAAUUUGAAGUCCUUAGCACUGAAAUUCAUAUUACAUCAAUUCAUAUGUUCUCAUUAAACUGCAGUUAGAUAAACAUUUUCUUUGUUUUAAAUUUAAUCAUAACAUUUCCUUAGAUAUAGAUAGUUCGAACCAUGAUAUUAUAAAGCAGAAAAAAAUUUACUUUGUUUUUUAAUCAUGCUAAUUAGUGGUUGUUUCUACUGGUUAUCCUCGCUAUCCAUUAAAUCAUUUCUUUUCUUUGUCUUGCGUCAUAAAGACAAAUGCAGAUAAGGGAUUUGGCAUUAUAUUUUUAAAACUUUUGUCUCGUCUUGAAAUUUUUCUUCAUGAGAAACAUUCUGAUUCCUGAAGUUGUGAUUGAGCCAGUUUUUAAACUCUGGCAAUCUAAAUUGAAGAUUACACUUCGAUGUCCAAUUACGCAAUUAUUCAUGGGAUUAGCAGUUAAUUCGUAAAAUUAAAUGUUUUGCAAGUGCAUGGCCAAAAUAGCCUUUAUGUAUUUCUUUAGCUAAUUAACUCCUCCGAAUCUUAGGACCAUGAAAAGCUAGGGUUAAUUGCACUUGACCCUCGUCAAUAUUACCCAAGUUGCACGUUAUCCUCUUGAAUUUUUUUAGGGACUUAAACUAUUUCUACAAACUCAAUUAUUUUUUCUUUUCUUUCCUAUUCGUUUUUUUCAAAAUUUUCAUCUCUUCCCUCUUAUUUUUCUUUUUCCUUUCAUUCUUUUUCAGCAUUACAAUAUUAUAUUUAGUGCACUCAUUGUUAAAAUUUGUAUAGCAUAUUUUAAUAAAAAAUUUAUAGAGUUUUAGUUACUUAGAUGCACUAAUUGUGAUUUUUUUUAAUAAAUAGUGCAUUUAAAAAUUCUAUUUUGAAAAUAAAAAGCUACCACCAACUUUAUCAUUUUAGCUUGUUUAACUUUAUACUUUUAGAUAUAGUUAAUUUCCAAUUUUAAUAAUCCAUAAGAAGCUUUAUCAUAAGCCCAUUUGAUCUAAGAAAUUAAAUUAUUCAAACACAUAUAAACAAAGUGGAACUCUUAAUUAACAAAUUUUUUAAAAAAUAUAAAAAAUAAAUAAUUCAACUAUAUUCUUCUUCUUUUAAAGGAGUUAAUAGUAAUAAUUUGUUAACACAUAUUUCCUACUUGCUCUACUACUCUAGUAUGUUUAUUAUUACUAACUAAGUAACUAUGAACUCUAAUUAGUUUAUAUGUCCUUAAAGUAUUGAAUCGUAUAGUAUAUAUGCUGUGCAAUUUAACACGCAUAUAUUUUGUUAUUGUAUAGAGUUGAUGAUGAAUUUAUUAAAAGUGAAAUGUAACAAAUAAACAAAUGGGAGUGGGGGAGGGAUGAGUUUGGUGGUAUGUGGGGGGUAAGUGUAAGUGAGAGGUUUCGGGUUCGAGACCUUCCACUUACAUAAAAAAACUAUAAUCGGAGAAAAUGUUUUAAAAGAAAAUUAAAAUAUUUAGCAUAAAUAUUUUAUUAACAGAUAGACAAAAGUGCCUAAUAGUGUUAGAGAGCAAGGAAAUAGAAAAAAUUUAAAAAAGGAAAAGGAAAAGUGAAAAACAAAAAAAAAGUAAAAAUAAAAAUAAUUAAGAUGGCAGGGAUGAUUUUGUCCAAAUACAUCAUGAGAGGGUUAAGCGCCUACAAAGCAAGUUGAAAAAUAGAGUGCAACUGGAAUAAUAGUUGGAGAGGGUUUAGUACAAUUAUCAUAAAAAAAUUGGAUUAUUUGUAUUAACCUCCAAUGAGGUUUCGUCAAAUUAUAGAUUAGGCCCUACUGUUUGAUGAUAUUGCGAAAAGCUCCUCUAUCCUGAGAGAUGUGUAACAUAUACGCCAAACGUUGACUACCAUAUUCUAAUGACAUCAGCAAGAUUAUUCUCCCAAAAGUCCCGAAAUACCCCACACGUUGGACUUUCUCUUUUUUCCCUAGUAAUGCUCAACAGCCAAACAAUUCCAGUAUCGCUAUAAAAAAACUUAGGUGUAUCACUAAAGUAAAUCAUUACUCCGACCAUAUUUAUAACCUCAAAAGUAUUGAAGUGUAGGAAAAUUAAUAAUAUCAAAUCUAGUCAGCUAAACAUUCUCAGUAGUCAUUGGCUCCGUUUGGAUUAGCUGUUUUUUGGGUUGUUUUUCAAAAACACCACUGUAGCAUUUCGAAUCUGAAAAACAAGUCCGUUUGGAUUAGUUGUUUUUGGGGUUGUUUUUCAAAAACUAUAUGAAAAACUUUUACUGUAGAUUUUUUUGGAUUAUUUUUAGAGGUAUUUUUGAAACAUAUUUUUGAGUAUUUUUAGAAUAUUAUAAUUUUUAUAUUUUUAUAUAAAUAUACAUUUAUGCAUUUAUAAUACAUUUAUAUUUACAAAUGUAUAAAUGUAUAUUAUUAUAAAUUAUAAAUUAUAAAUGAAUAUUAUAUAAAUGUAUAAAUGUAUAAAUUAUAAUUUUUAUAUAAAUAUACAUUUAUGCAUUUAUAAUACAUUUAUAAAUAAAUAUAUUUAUAUAUUCAUAUAAAAAUAUAUAAAUGUAUUAUAUUCUAUAUAAUACAUAAUAUAAAUAUAUUUAUAAAUGUAUAAGUGUAUAUUAUUAUAAAUGUAUAAAUUAUAAAUAUAUUAUAAAUUAUAAGUGUAUAUUAUUAUAAAUUAAUAAAUUAAUAUAUUAUAAAUAUAUAUUAAUAUUAUGUAGAAAUGUAUUUAUAUAAUUAAUAUAAAUGUAUAUAUGCAUUAAUAUUAUGUAUAAAUGUAAAAUUAAUAUUAUGUAUAUUAAUAUAAAUGUAUAAAUGUAUUAUAUUAUAUAUAAUACAUAAUAUAAAUAUAUAUUUAAAUGUAUAAGUGUAUGUUAUUAAAAAUGUAUAAAUUAUAAAUGAAUAUUAUAUAAAUUUAUAAAUUAAUAUAUUAUAAAUAUGUUUUAAUAUUAUGUUUAAAUGUAUUAAUAUAAUUAAUAUAAAUGUAUACAUGUAUUAAUAUUAUGUAUAAAUGUAAAAUUAAUAUUAUGUAUAUUAAUAUAAAUGUAUAAAUGUAUUAUAUUAUAUAUAAUAUAUAAUAUAAAUGUAUAUUAUAAAUAUACAUAAAUAUUUAUAUAUUAUGUAUAAAUGUACAUUUAUAUAAAUGUAUAAUAUAUUAUAUAUUAUAUUAUAUAUAAUUUAUAUAACAUAUAAUAUUUAUGUAAAUAUAUUAUAAAUAUAUAAAAUAUAUUUUAAAUAAAAUAAAAUAUUUAUGAUAUGUAUAUGUAAAUAUAUAAUAUUAGAAAUGUAUAAUAUAUAUAAUAUACAUUAAUAUUAAUAUAAUUUAUAUAUAAUAUACAUAAUUGAAAUAUACAUAUUAAUAUAUAUUAUAAAACAAAAUUGCAUAAAUAUAUUUAUAAAUUUAUAUAUAAAUAAAUGUAUUUAUAUAAAUAUAUAAUAUUUAUUUCAAUUGACAUAAUAUAUAUAAUAUUAUACAUAAUUGAAAUAAAUAUAUUUAUAUUAAUAUAAUAUAUAUAUAUAUAAUAUACAUAAUUGAAUAUACAUAUUAAAAUACAUAAUUGAAAUAUACAUAUUAAAAUAUAUAAUUAAAAUAUAUUAAAAUAUAAUUGAAAUAUACAUAUAAAAUACAUAAUUAAAAUAUACAAAUUGAAAUAUACUUAUUAAAAUAUACAAAUUAAAUAUGCAUAAUUGAAAUAUAUUUGGAGUUGUUUUUGAUAUAUUGUUUGGAUUGGUGUUUUUGAAGUUGUUUUUGAAAUACACAUUUACUGUAGCAUUUGAAAUGUGAAAAAUAGUUUUUCAAAAACACCAAUCCAAACGUACCCUAUAUCUUUUUAUUCUUGAAAGUAUAAAUACGAACUUAUUUCUUCUCGCCUCAAGAUCUUCUUAAUCUUUUUUGAUUGCUUAUUCGCAGUUCUUCUAUAUUUUCCUCAAAUUCUCACAAUGAAAAGUCGUUACACGGACAAAAUUGAACAAUGAGUUAUGCUUGAACAAAUAGACAUGGGGUUCUUAGACAUCAAUUGCAUUGCCAAUAAGAUGAUAUAAAUAAAAGUUUGUUGUGUUUUACAUUGUAAAGGGUGAUGGUGGGGCGGUUUAGAGUGGAAAAGUAAUGGCCCAAAGGCAAUCCAUUGAGGUUUAGGCAAAGGAAUUAAGGCAUUUUUGAUAAAUAAUUCUUAAAUGAGAGGGAAGAACAAAGAGAUUUAAGGCUUGGAGCAGAUAGAGGAUUAGGGAGAAUUGCUGAGGAGAGAGUUUGGAAGAGAGAAAACGAACUACAACAAGAUUGAGAGGGGUUACCAAUAGUGGCGAGUGCUUUUAUUCCAAAUUUUGCUUCUUUUCUUUUGCUAAUUUUUGGAGAUUUUGGCAAAAAUAGUCUUUUUCUAGAUUUCCACCUUUUUAUUCCCUUAUUUGGAUCUCUUGUUAGUUUUGUGAUGAUUGUGGACGAUUUUCCUCAGUAUAUUAUUUAUGCUUCUAAACUUUUUUUAUUUUAAUAUUGUGAUCUUUAACAGGAAAAAUUGAGCUUUUCGUACAAAGGGUACUUCUAUAAUUUCAUUGGUUCCGUUUGUUGGCAGGCGUUGUUAGUGAUAGGGGGCUGACAGUCAUAUAACUAAACCACAAGGCUUGAUUUGUAUUAUGGACAAAUCUCAAGGAAGGCAGAUAUAAUUAACCCAGAAAAACUAGGUCAAAUAGUUGUCAAUGUCAUUUGAACCAAUUAAUUGACUUCACAAAACCAGGAAAAGCGAAGAAGAAAAUUGCUCACAUCAAAAUGCAUGAUGCCAUUAAGAUCAAAUUACAUUUUUCAAAGCAAAACGACUUACAUUAGAAUUCUUAGACUAUGAGGUUAAUACUACUAUAUGCUGAGUAGUAUUAAAAUGACUAGCGUUCACUUUCAUGUGUGACUAUCUUUUUGAAUAAAGUUCCAAAAUUACCUAAGACCUCGGCAAUUGCAUUAAAGGCUCUUGAUAAUGCACAGGAUGUACUAUAAAAUUCCUUCUAGAUUUGACGAGGAUAAACUUAAGAGAACCUUUACCUCCAUUCUAGCAAUUCCAUAUAUUGGAUCACUAUGUAAUAAAUAACUCAUGAAUCAGUAGUAGUGAGAGGUGUUGAAAUACAAGUGAUAAGUGGGAGGUCUCAAACUUGAGAGGCAUUUGGUUCGAGAUCUCCUAUUUCUACUUACAUUUUGACACGUUUUAUGUAUAUUCUUUUUUCUUGAUACCACCAACUCAUCCUUUCUCCCUUCAAAAUUAUUAUAUUGGAAGGUGAGUUUUUUGGAUGUUUGUCUAAAACUUUAUUGUAGAUUACUGUAAAAGUUUUUUAAAAAUUUUUUUGAAAUGUGUUUUUUUAUAAAAUAUUUUGAAGUGUAUAGUUUAAAAAUUUUGAAAAUUUUUUUGAAAUUACUAUAGUUAAAGUUUUUUAAAAACUUGUAGCACACAAACUUGGCAAAAAACUUGGCUUCCAAACAAUAUGCUAUUGUUAUCUUAGAGAAGCGAAAUGAUAUGAUUGAAAAUUUUAGAAACUUCUUACCAAAAAAAAAAAAAAAAAAAUUUUAGAAACUGAUACGAAACCAAAAGGUUUGAUGGUGUAAAACGCAAAUUUCUGAUAUUUGGUUUCUAGAAGCGCCUGAUCUGCGCCUCGAUAUAUACCCGACUUCACUAUCAAGCGCCCACUUUCCUGCCCCACUUUCCUGUUCACCUGAAUAAACUUUCACUUUGUAAAAUGCUCUUACAAUGUGAGAGCUAAGGGGACUUCCGAAGGCCCAUUUCGAUUUUUCUGUCAAUUUUGCCUUCCCUUUUUUAAAAUUGAAACCUAGCUCUCAUUCGUCCUCAAAAAUCCCCAAUUUUAUUUCGUGAAUCAAAGUUGAGCCGCCUACAUACUUUCAAAAUAGCGCAAAAUUUUUAUCAACCCAAAACCCAGAAGAAUCCAUCCCUUCUGAACCAUACAAAGUUCGAAACUUUAAGGUCAGAUCUAUUUCUUGUUGCAUGUUUUUCAAUUCCAGCCCUUAGUUUAACUUGAUUUCUGUAUUUUUGUGAGGUUCUAUUUUCCGGGUUCUGUUCGAUUUUGUUGAUAAGGGCUUGUUUGGAUUUGUUAUUUUGUUGGUGUUUGCAGAUUUAGGGUCUUGGGUUUGUUGUACUGGGUUUUGUGGGUUUUGGCAAUUUCCUACAAAUUUGAUGAGAAAAUGACCGUGUUGCCCAGCCAUGAUUCAAUUCAUAUAAGGGAAGUUUGGAAUGACAACCUUGAGGAUGAGUUUGCACUGAUCAGGGAAAUUGUUGAUGAUUACCCUUAUAUAGCUAUGGAUACUGAGUUUCCUGGCGUUGUUCUUCGUCCUUUAGGGGAUUAUAAGAACUUCACUGAUUUUCAUUUUAAAACCUUGAAGGCUAAUGUGGACCUUCUCAAGUUGAUUCAGUUGGGCCUCACGUUUUCUGAUGAGAAAGGAAAUCUUCCCACCUGUGGAACUGGUAAGUACUGCGUCUGGCAAUUCAAUUUCCGGGAGUUUAAUCCCAAUGAGGAUGUCUAUGCUCAUGACUCCAUCGAGCUUCUGAGGCGAAGUGGAUUUGACUUCAAGAAGAAUGUUGAUAACGGUGUUGAUGCUUAUCGGUUCAGUGAGCUCCUGAUGUCGUCUGGGAUUGUGUUGAAUGAUAGUGUCAGCUGGGUUGCCUUUCACAGUGGAUAUGAUUUUGGGUACUUGCUGAAGAUCCUGACGUGCCAGAACCUGCCUGAAACUCAGGAGGGUUUUUUCAAAUUGAUCAAGAUGUAUUUUCCAACUGUUUAUGAUAUCAAGCAUAUGAUGAGGUUCUGCAAUCACCUCCAUGGUGGAUUAAACAAGCUUGCUGAGCUGUUGGAAGUGGAAAGAGUUGGUAUCUGCCAUCAGGCUGGUUCAGAUAGUUUGCUUACUUGUUGUACAUUUAUGAAGUUGAAAGAGAGUUUCUUUCAUGGGACAACUGAGAAGUAUGCAGGUGUAUUGUAUGGUCUUGGUGUUGACAAUGGACCUAAUAGUACUUGAAAGAAAAGAAUAUCAACUCAUAAAUAACUAAAUAAAAAGCUAUUUUCUCGUGAAUGGAUGCCUACUCCUUUUGCUGUCCUCUGUGUGUUCUUGUUUCAUUAUUCUUAGAAGACCAGUGUUCAUCUUCAUUGAUAGUCAUUUUUUCUUUCUAAUUUUGGUGUUCUUGGACACAGUUGACUUGAAUAGGAAUCCUUUCAAGUAUUUUCCUUCGUAAAGCAUGCCUCUGCAUUCUUAUGGUACUCCAUUUGUCAUUAGAAAAAGCCCAGGGAAAAAAAAUGCAAAAACUAAAAGCAUGUGUGUUUUUUACCUGUAACGAUAUGAAUACGGCAAGUUAAGCAGUGACAGAGAUUAUGUGAGCAGAAGGCCUAACUAGUUGCUCUUGUGUCUUAAUUGUGCCUGAUUGGCCUCUCAUGUAGUCAGCAAAACCUGAUGAAAAAUACUAAACAUGAAUAUGUUUCCCGAAGUAUGUAAUUGUCAUUCUAGUCUGCCCACUACUGUCUAGGUUCUACGCUAGUGAUCCUUAUUAGAGUUUAGAAUUUGAUAUGGGUAUUGCAAAAUUUUCGUCCUUUUGAGCUUGGUUACUUCGUUAGGAUCAGGUCAUGGCUAGGGUUUCAUUAAUUUAUGAAGAUUCUGUAGAUUAUUUAAGAGAUUUGGCGUGGUGGUGGAUGCUACUAUUCUUGUUCAUUAUUAUCACCUGCAGCCAAGCGAAAGCUCUCUCUUUUACCAGAUUUGCUGGAGCUCAAAAGAAGCUGAUUUAGAAAAAAGAUAUUUUCUUCCAUCUCAUUGGCCUUACAAGGAUCAGCCGUCAUUAUGUCUUUGUACUCUGAAGAAUUUUCUUAUAUUAUGUUCUUUUGGAUAAUCUUGCCAUGUCAUCAUAAUUUGAUUUGUGAAAGAUGGUAAACUAUCUAUAAACCUGAUGGCAAGUGAAAUUCGCCAAGCUGGUUUCUUUUUUUGGUCAUUUAAUUUUUCUGCCUAUUAAGUUAUGGAUAUAGAAUUACUGCCGUCCCUCUCCCUCCCUCCAUCUGUCUCACUCUCUUUAAUGUACUUCUUCUUGUGAUGUUGUUAAUGCUAGUUACCGUAUUUGUCAACUAGAAAAUUUGAGAGCUUGCUUUCUUCCAGAUGUUAAUAAUGGAGGAAGGUAAGAAGCUAACAUCAUAAUGUGCAACAGAUGGCAUUAGGGCUUUAUUUUGUUCAGAGAGAUAUCGAUUGAAAACAAGAUAAGCAACUAGAAAUAAAGAUGUAUCGAAAUAAUUGCAAUUGCCUUUAAACAGGUUCUGAGCCCAUCUUGUUCUUUAUGCUUAGAGUCACCUAUGAUUAAUACAGGUGGAAUUUAUAUUUUCUGAGAUCUAAAAUCAGAAAUCUCUCAAUCUUACGGGCUAUGUAGUUCUCUUGUUAGCAUGGGGCAAUUGUGCAUUGUCCUUUGCUGAAAGUAUAAAAAACGUAGGAUAUGACACAUUUCCAUGGAGGCUGAAGAGAAGAGAGACAAGGUAAAAUGUGGAGGGCUUACAUAGGCCCACAAUAGUUGCAAUCCACAAGUGUCUAUGACAUCUGAAAGUCGUGGGAGUGUCAUGGUAGAAGUUCUUGCUUUUGCACAGGUUUGUUUAGAUGUUGUCAAGUACUGAUAGCACUGUAGGUUUCUUCUCAUAACCUAAUUUUUCUGGAUUUGCCAAUUUGACCAGGCAUAUAAAGUUUCUCUGAACAAGAUUACCGGUCUCACCUGUCACUCUGAUCAGGUUAAGAGUCAUUUACAAGAUGGCUGACUCUUUGUUCUGAGGUGUGGAUCAAUGAAUAUGAUGUUUGCAACUUUUGGUAUUUUCUGUUUUUGAGGUUCAUUAAGCAUCAUCUUUUCGUAGAAUAGUAUUCAUUUAAGUGCCAGUUUUAGGUCAAUUCAUUAAGUUUGCCUAAUGAGACAUGGGGAAGCACGGGGGAGGCCAAGAAUGGCAGGAAAAAAAAUCCGCUUUUUGGUUUUGGUAAUACAGGCGCAAAUAAAUGUGCCAUUGUGCUUAAUUUGAGAUUGUUUUUGCUACUUCUAUGCUCUAUUUUUUUUGCUUCUGGAUAAAUUUUUUUCUUACACACACGUUGGGAACAUGCUGAGAGAUCUUUCUGACUUUGUAGCUUCCAAGUUACCAUUUCCUUGAACAAUAAAUCAGGUUUUCAGUUCAAAUAUUAUAAAAAUUAGCUUUUAAUAAUCAUUUGGUUUUCUAGACAUUAGGUUAUCACACUUUCUUUUCUCUUUGGGUUUGUCUUUCCAUGCAGCUUUGUAGUUCCAAGUUUUCCCAACUUCUGGUGGAUGUUUGCAUCUCUUGCUGGUUGACAACGAGCUUGAGGAAUCCACUAAAAGGUCCGAGGAGUAUCUGUCUUGGUUUGAUCAGAUAUACUUGACAAGCCAGAGUUUGGAAUGUUUUUCUGGAUCUUCAUUUUUUAUGUUGACAAGAGAGCAAUCAUUUGUCAUUCUUGGUUAAACUUCAAUUUGCAUAUUGGUGAGUGGUGGAAUUUCAGGGGAGGCAUAUCUAGUUGUGCUUGUGACCUAAAGAUGUGAAAUAUUUAUUGCUUGUAAUAACCCCUUAUUAGCCAAUCUUGGAGCCAGCAAAAUUUAAAGAAAAAUGAUAGACAUGGUUUUUCUGCAGAGAUUGCAGUGCUAGCAUUGUAAGAUACUUAACAAGUUAUGCAGAAGCGUCUAACCUGUGCUGAAAACAGAUCCCAUGGUACUUAAGAUGAUGCUGUUGCAUGGACUUCUCAUGCUAUUUUGACCUCUAGUAUUCUGAUUUUACCUUUUUCCUGUGUUUUCAGAAUCUUACAAGUUAUCCUUUUUCUAUUCCAAGCUUUGAUACUUGGUUAAGCAUGAAGUUAGUCUAAGGUUUCAUUACUUCAUGAUUUUUAUUUUUUUCCAGUGUGGAGUUGGGGUGGUAUUUCAAUUUGCUGCAUCAAGGGGAUAACUUUUCUCCACCAGUAUUCCUUGAUCUUUUGUCCAUAAUUUAUCAUCCUUUAUUCUUCCCCCAAGCACCACUUGGCAGCCUCAGCUGCACUGUGGAGCUCAAAAUAUAGUGGACCUGUUUUAAGAUGUGUUUUCUUCCAUUUCAUUGACAAUAUGAGGACCAGUCAUACUUGAAUUUUAUAUGAAGAAUUUCAAAAAAUUUCUUCCUUUUAUGCUGUUUGUGUUGACAUUUCGCUUCAUAACAAUUUGAUUUUGGAGUGAUAGUAAAUGCUUUGACAAGAGAUGGUGCCUAGGUUUAGCAUAAACCAGGUUGCAAGCAAAACUUGCAAAGCUGACUUCUGUCUUUAUUCAUUUAACUUUAUUUUCGAAUUAAUUAUGGACAAAUCAUUUCCUGCCUCCACCUGAUGGUGCCCUCUUGAUUUUCUUUUGAGUUCAUUAAAAUACUAAUUUCCAUACUUGUUAGUGAGAAGAAGUUUAAGAGCCUGCUUUCUUUCAGAGGUAGAUAUUGGUGAGGGAGAAUAACAAAGAAGUUGACUUUGUGAGAGUAAUCAAGAGAUGUUUGCAUUCAUGCCCAUCUUCACCACCAUCCCAUUCCUGGCUUGAUACCAUGUGUUAAACAUGUUUUGGAUGACAUUCUGAACUGCUGAUUGGAGCUUGUGUUUAGGAUGGUUUAAGCGUCCUUACCUCCUUUUUUAUCCUCUCUUCAUCUAAUACUUCCUGCAUGCUCAUCAUGCUUGUUGGUCAGUAGUACAUCAGAACUUUCCUUUAUAUAGCAAUGGUUUGUUUUGCUUCAUAAGACAUCAUGUGCAGGAACUCUCUCAUUUUAUAAACACCCAUAAAAUGUCUUUUGGACACUAUUUAGGGUUCUUGUACCAAUUGUUUUCUUUUCUGGCAUCAUGUAUUGUUCGCUUCCAAACCUCAUAGAGCACCUUAUUGAUCUGGAUGAUAUGCAUCGUGUCAGAGAAUAUGCAAGCCUAGAUAAAGUAGGUGUAGAAUACCUUGAUAGAGCAGAAGCUUUAACUUAGAUCGUUGGAUUUUAUUACAUUUUCUUUUCUCAACUAGGAAGAAGUUUAUUCAGCCAGAAUGAAGUUUGUCAAUGUGCUAGGUGCAUGAUUUUAUCUGUAUCCUGUAUCAAGGUACCAAGACCUUACCCAUGAAAAACGUAUCAAGUGCUUUACUUUAUUACUGAAGGGGAUUAAAGUUUUGAUUUUCUACGACAGUUGAACUCACAUUUAGCUAUGAUGAACUGACCUGAUGGGCCUUGAUGUUCACAGAACCAUCUUUCCCUGUAUGAAUAUGAAGCAAGCGCAAGUAUGAUGACACAUGGAAGAUUGUGCAGUCUCUAUUAUGAAUUAUUACUACAUUCCUGGCUUGCCAAGAGUGACAUGUCCCAGGUGUUUAGCAUUUGUUGUUCACGAACUCAUUUGACGUGUUAAGAGUGAGACAAACCCUGAGCAGACACAAAUUUUCAAUGAAAUUUAUUGAAAUAUGUCUAUAUGAUUGUGCUUGAAUACGUGUAAUCUACAAGUAUGAAACAACAAACUUUUGAAAAUUCAUUUACUUUGAAUGUUUGUUACAGAUUUGCAGCCUUGCAGGUAGUUAGAAUUGCUGAUUCAUCCCAGUUAAGGGCAAGAAUAUUGGUUUGCUACCCAUACAUAUCAACUCCAGAUGCAUAUUUUCGGGAAUUUGGCAUUCCAGAAGCUUCUCUGAACUUCCUGCAGCUCCGGACAGAGAGAGGAAGAGGGGUUCCUGCUUGGUGCUUGCUGAAUGUCCUGCGAAUUUCAUCUGCACGGAUUGCUUAUGCAUUGCUUAGUGGAUUUUUGGUUUCAAAUAGCAUGUCUUUUACCCGUUAAGUAGCCCUUUUUUAACCCAUUGUUCUGGAUUGCAUAAAUGUCAAAUUUCGCCUGAAAUGCUCACAUAUUCUUCUAUGAGAUUACGUGCAUCACUAGUGUGUCACCUUCCUUCGACACUUGAAGCUGGAGUUUGACGUUUCAUUUCGUUCAAACCGUGGAAUAGUUGCUGCGAUUAAACUUGUGUCUGUAAGAAAAUAAAGAAGGAAACAUCAUUUUUUGUCUUUGUGAUCUUUGAUUUCUGCAUUUUCUAAUCCAUGUUAUAGAAUUGACUGUUGAUGAUACCAAACAUUUUGUUAAAAGAAAGCCAAAGUAUUCAAUUCUCAUACAUUUAACUCAUCCUGGUUAAAAUGUAACUUCCUAUGUUGAUGUCCAUAAAUUUCCUCAAAAGAGCUUGCGAAUUGCAAAAGUCUCCACCAAUCAUCUUAAAAUGGCACUCUAAACCGGCUCCUAUGAUACUUUUGACAGGUACAGAUAUACUGCCAGGAAGGGCAGUAGGUAUGCAUCAUGGACCAUGAAAAUGCUAAUUUCAGUAAUCAAUUGACAGCUUUCACGAACUGCAAACUUCUUGGACUAUGAAAAUGCCAGUUUCUAAUAAUGAAAUGACACUUUCACGAUCUGCAACUUCUUAUUGAUUAAUGAACAUUGAAAAGUAAGUAUCAGCCCAAUCUUGCCUCUCUUCGUAGUACCUGGAAAAGAUGUAACACUCAACCAUAAGUGGCAGAAAGUACUCCAGGAGUCGCAAGAAAAAUUUCCAAAUCACCUUAGCAUCUAACUACAGCUCAUCCAUCAUUUAAUAUGUGCUCAAAACCCACAAAAUGAACAGGUCAAACAAGCUAGCCACUUAAUAAUAUGGGGAAUAUUUACGAAAAACUGCUUGAAAGUUUAUCUAGUCUAGGUGGCAGACAACAAAGAAAGGAAGAAAACAUGCUGUAGCCUUAGAAUUAACUGAGUUUUCAUCAAAAUUGAGACCAAUGCCAUUCAAACGUCAAUAGAUUAAAACUUCUCAAGAACAUUAAUAAAUAUUGCUCACUAUAACCUAAUAUUUCAGGCUAGAGACUAUCAAGCUGGGAAAAGAAAAGCUGGAUUGGCUAAAUAAUAACUUAAACAAUUAAAGUGAGUCGUUUCAAGCCAGUUAAGACAAGGUGAGAUCUGGAAUCUGUACAGUAUUAAUGAACCCUAAAGCCGGAAGAGGUGAUUCAUCAUUUCACUAUUUUAGUGAAAGAAUUAACCAAAAACAAUUAUGAAUAAACCUGUAAAAAACCAGCAUCCUGAAUAAUUCACUUUAUUCCUCCAAAAAAAGAAGCAAAAAAUUCUCGUUUUUGAAUAAGUUACAGGUUACUAUGUCUUUAAUUCUCAGACUUGCUAUGUGGAAAGCACAAAAUUCAAUAUUAAAAGACAACUACCAACAACUGCAAUAUCUAAGAUAGCAUGCCCCUUUUGAGGCCAAUCUGCCCUGUAAAAAGAAUUGAUCAAAAAGCAGACUCAACAAGAGUUGGAGUAUGCACCAAUUAUAAAACCUGCAACUUUUGUAUUCUUAAACCCCAAGCACUUUCUAAAAGAGAACUAAAGGAACAUGGGAGCCAUGCUUAAAGAAUGUAGUGUCAAACAUUUUGUACCUCCUCAGCAAAUUUUAUCAAGAUGGUUGUUCGAGGUCGCUGCUGUCCUUCAACAGGAACAAAAUGAGCUGUUACCACAGCAGGGAAACCUGCAUUAUCCAAAACUCCCUUCAAAAGAAAAAGCACAUCAACUAGAGGCCAACUCCAAAAUUAUCAAUAGGUAUUUGUACCAAAAAGAUAAAAAUGUAAGACAUACCCUUACAAUUCCAGCAACAAAAGCUCCGCAAUUAAAAGUACCCAUAUCUUUGGGAAUUGAUAUAAAUCUAGAAUCAAAUGAAUGCAUGUUAGCAGACCAUUAAGAGGACAGCUAAUACAAAUCAGAUACAAGCAUGCAACAAAGGGAGAAAGAUAACCUGUUGACCAAAAGUUCCUUCUCGCUAAUCAUGUAUUCAUCUUCAUGUUCAGUACCUUUCUCAAGAGAGUCAGCUACCUGAAAUUUACAUGGAUAAGAGGAUAAAAGAUGCAUUCAUGUCCCUUUCUAAAACAACUACGUCUUCAGAAAAUUCUCACCAAUACAGACAGUAUUGGUGUCUGAAUAAUAAUAAUAAUAAUAUGCACAUGAAAAGCUUAAUAUAAAGGUGUCUGAUAUUACAAGUUGAUUAUGUGGAGGACCAAGGACAGAUAUGAUGAAAAUGCUCCUUCUGGACAGUAGAAGUCCCUUACAUACAUUAUGAUCUAAGGCACAAAUUUGUGUGCACCCAGCACUUUGAAGCCACCAGUAGCAAAUUCUUGUCAGUUCUUUUAUUACACAACCUACUAAAAAUAACUCUUCAGAUUGUCAACCCUGACACAAACUCCAUCGUUAUUUAAGCUUCGGAAGCAACGUGCUUUCUAAACUGGAGUUCAUGCUUUUAAAAGAAGAAGUUAGCAGAGAACUAAAGAAACAUUAACUUCAACCACAUAGAAAAGAAGAUCGGUUAGCAGUGAUAGAAGCAUGCUAAAAUUUUCCAAUCUGUAUUGAUACAGUUUUUGUGCUAUGUAGACCAUCAUUUACAGAUGUGAGAAUCUAAAAAGAAGAUAAAAUUAUCACCUCAGAUGGCUAUCUUCAGCAGUAAAGUCAAAUUGGUGGCUUUACCAGUUAGAAAAGUAACACUAAAAUUUUGAGAUGUAAAUAAGCAAUUUUUCCGCUAAAUGCUUAAUUCAGGGUAGCAUGUCUUUUUUAAAGCUUGUGCCAAAGUUCUGGAUUUGAUUCUUCUUUCCAGUAGUAACGCUCCACAGCUGUACUUAAAUUAAACAAAAGUGAAUGGGUGAAGCAUCUUCAUAAAAUGCAGAUAUGCUAUUUUCCAGGUUUACUUUUAUGUGCACAAGUAACAAGCUGCAGAAUAGUUGAAGCAUAAACGCUACAAUAAGAUUAUGCAAUUUAUUAUUAAAGUCGGAAGAAACUUUGUUCCCAUGUUGUUGCAUUCAUAUUGAAGCAAUUUGGUCUCUGCAGAUCCCAUCUCCAAGGGAUCACCAUUCAACAUAAAAAGUGGCCAAAGGUUGUCAUUUUACAAAUACAGAAUAUAAGCAACCUUACAGUCAAUAUGGUUUUUCAUUGACUUGCAAACUCAUAGUUUUGCAAUCUUCUACAUUUCAUUGCGUAUGUUUAAACAAAUAUUUGGGGAUUAGCAACAUAUUGAAAUUUGAAAACACUCAGUGUAUCUGGAUUAUUCAUUUGAAUAUGCUUCUUUGCGGAUUGUCCUGAUCUGACAAUUGAAUACGCUCUAGCAAAAUAUUGGGCAGAAAAACAUAUCAAGGGCAUGCAACAAAGGCAUUGAGGGGACUAUAUAAAAUUAUACUACAAGAAUUUCAGUUUCUCAGUGCUCUAUCUAAUUUCUGAAGCAGUUAUCCUAGAUUUUCAUUCUCAGUAUAGGUCAAAUCUUAAAACAGCAAGCUGACAUAUACUGUGCCGUAUGAAUCCAAAACCAGCAACAGUCUUGAUAGUUCGGAGCUGGAAAGUUAGGUUAAUCCUUACUCAACAUCAUGAACUCAGAAAAAAUCCCAAACUUAAUUACCUGAGAAAAUAGUCAAUAUAGGAUUAAGAAAAUAAUAGAAUAUUACUUUUGCAAACGACAAAUGGAUUUUGACAUCCAUGACAGUUGUCAUAAGGAACAGGGAACAGGUCACAACAACAUUCAUAUCACAUAAAUGGUUUUCAUGACAUAGAGGCUCUUAGUUUUCAGAUUAUAAUCCUGCACCACCUAAGUUCACAUUUCUAAAAGAGUGUGGUAAACUUGCAAAAUGCCUUUCAAGUCAGAUUAGUAUUGAGAACACACCCAUAUUGGGAUCAUGUGAUCAUCAAUCCUUUCAAAAAUUAAAAAUCAGGAGCAAGAAACUAUGAAGGUAUGUGGAGCCUAUCUCACCAUACCAGGCAAGGAAAGGUGGCAAUACUGAAAAGAGGAAACGAUUAGUUUGGCGAGUUAACAAAGACACGGGAAGAUAUACUUCCACUAAAGUUUUCAGGUCUUCAAAAUAAACCAAGAUAGAUCUACCACAAAAAGAGUAAAAAUUACUAAAGUUUCAAGAGACAAAUUUAUUUAAGCAAUGCACCAUAUCUUGAGAGGCCGCAAGUCAAUACCAACCUUUCCAAACAACACCUUCCAUACUGUGCUGUGUACAAAAGAUAAGAUACCCAGGAGUCGUGUCUCUCUUCUGUUUCCCUAAAGCAUCAAAUAAAUAGUAAAAACAUAAGCCAGUCAACUUAGAGAAGAACAAAAGCCAUAAACAUAGAUUUAGAGACCCCUCUGAGAAGUUCUUAUAUAACAUUAAUCACUUCACAAACAGUUACUCAGAUGUCCCUUUAAUAAUUCAACCAAUAAUUGAUCAAUAUGUUGCACCAUCACCAUUCACCAGAUCUUGCAGUGACCAAUAUGUUGCAUACAUGAAUCUUCGUGUGCGAAAAAUUACUCAAGGUAAUGCUUCAGUUAAAGACAAGAAUAAAUAAGCAUACAAAGUUAGCUGAUUUAAUAUUUUCUUUCAAACAGUAAUAGCUUUGUUUAGGAGAAUAGUUUUAAAACCUCAACACCAAAAAGAAAUUACUUGGUUUCUCCCUUGAUUUUUCAGUGUAUGUCCUAUAGCAAAGUAGCAGUGGAAUUACUUAAAAAAAAAAAAAAAAAAAACUAAAAACAUUAUGAACACAUGAACUUGCUGCAAAUAAGAAUCUAAUCUGAAUCAAUUUAUUGAACUUCAAUCACUUCAGCCACAAUAGGCAGAUGUUAAAUGGACAAAAAUAUCCAGCUCUUCAGCUUUGCAAUUGAUGCAGAUGUUUUAGUUUCACUUCAAAGAUUAGGAUGAUUUAACAUGCAUAAAACUUGCCAUGGGCUACCAUAGAGAGUAAGAAUAUUCGCAUGAACUCUCUCGAUUUUCCGCACCUUUUCUCUGUGGCAAAGAAGUUCCAAAACCCUUGCUCCAACAGCAUAUCCUGCAUCUUCGAGCCUGCAAGCCCAAAACUAAGAUAUCAUCAAAUUAAUACAACAGAAUCCAUGCAUAAAUCAAGCAGUCACACAACUUCAGUAACCCAAAGUAAACCAUCAGAAACCCAAGGAUUGUGAAUCCAGUUCCAGAUCAAUCAGAACAACAAAAAUAAUCAUUUUGUAUGGGUGUGGCGAGAAUGUUUGACAAAAGCAGAUUAGUAAAGGACGAUUCUUGCCAUAAAUUUUCAAAAUGCACGCUAAACUAACUAUUUAUAUUGCUGUUGCAUAUCCCCCCCCCCCUCUCACCCCUUUCUCCAAUCCCCACAAUUUAGCAUGUUAUUAGUCAGUUCAAUUUUUUGUUUCCAAAACAGUACCAGAUGAUAAUUACUUGCGCAUAAUUGCUUUGAACUGCACGGUGACUGAUUUUCCAUCCUGAGCACAUCUCACAAGUUUGAUUCAAGAAAUUCCAGAACUAUAAAUUAACGCCAACCAUUCUUCACAGCAUAUACAUAUUGACCUACAUGAGUGGAAGAUAGUAUCACCUUCUUUCGAGUUCAGCAAUGUUGUCAACUUGAGUCUGAUUGUACUGAACCAGCUCUGAGAACAAGAAUGCAAAUGCACUCAAACUCACCUGACCAAAACAAUUAUCAUUUUUUUAGAACAAAGAAGAGAUUUCAAUCAACAGCCAGCAGAAAGAACAAAACCCCAAUAAGAAAUACUAAACAACAAAUACAUUUCAAUUGUGACCAUGAAAAGAGUCAAAAACAAAAACCCAUCCACAUUGAGCCGCAAAACUACAUGAUUUGAGAUGAAACCAAGCUAAGUACCUUAUAAUUUGCUCAACUACAGUUAAUUAAAACCCUUUAAUCCGUUAACCUGUUACCGGCUAGAUCUGAAUAGGGAGUGAAAGAAAACCUCUUGUUUGCCUUUACUGAGGGGCCUGUCGAGGACAUUUGUGUACUGCUUCAUCUUUCCAACUCCUAUCAUCCUGCGAUCCUUCACCAAUUUGUUGGGUUGCUUUUUUGAUUGCUACUGUGUCUGCUUUCGCUCAAAGUACUUACCAGUCGUAGUUGAAAACUUAAAAGCGAAGAUCAAUUCGGGUUUUUGAAUGAUAAAAGCAAAUUUUUGUGCUCCUAAGAUUAAUGGAAGUAUACAAGGGUUUAUUGUAGUUGAAACCCUUAAACUUUUGUGUGAGUUGCACUUUGCGCCCUCAACUUUUCACCAACGUUUUUUAACCCAUUUUGUUAUAUGUUUCUGUUCUAAUCCAUUUCCUAUUUUCUCCAAACUCUCUCAUGUUACCAUAAUCUCAAAAGAUCAUAAAUGCGAGCUUCUAAUCCCUUUUUCUAUUUUUUGCACCGUCUUUUAUUAUGAAAUGUGAUACAUAGCUGUUUGAUAUGUUUAUUUACUUUUGAAUUUGGUAAACUGAAAAGGUAGAUGAGAAAGAGGAUUUGUGGCCAAACUAAAGUUUCAUAUUUCAAGAAUCAAAACGCUUCUAAUUCAAUUUAAUGUGAAACUUAAAAAGUAUAAAGUCUUGCUGUAUCAUAUAAUAAAUAGUUUCGAGAUUCUUUUGGCCAAAAACCAUAUUGUAAGUAUCAAUUGUUUUACACAAUAAGGAAAUUGCACAUCAUCAUGGAAUUGUAUAUAUUUUUCCAUGAGCAUGCAUACAUUGUCUGCCGUUAUUAUAAAUUUUUACUUUUUUUACUCGUAGCAUCUGGUAGAAAAGUUGUUAAAAAAAUUCGUUUGAUUAGGAGAUUAUUUAGAAUAAUCACCGUAUUACUUUUUUGUGAUGUAAUAUAUAUGAAAUAAAGAGUGAUUAACAUAUAAAAAAGUGAUUGCAAAACGUAUUUAUGAUACAAGUAAAAUUAUAUUAAAAAAUUAGUAUUCAAACACACCCAAUAUUAACUUUUCUUCUCAUUCAUUUACUAAGUAAAAUAAUUGGUUUACUUAACAUGCAAUGAUAAAUUAUUUUUAAUGUUCCAUUUACGAAUAAUUAGCUUUGCAUUGAUCAAACAAUGAAGGAAAAAAGAAAAACUUUUAGACCAUGAACUAAUGUGUUUGGAUGGCAAAUUAUUUGAAAAAACAAAAUCAGAAUAAUACUAGCUAUAAUGAGUUUGUUUGGAUAAGAGUUUAUUUGGAUGAUUUAUUUGAGAUAUUUACUGUAGCACUUUUUGUGAUGUGAUGUAUGUGAGAUAAAAAGGUGAUUGAGAAGAUAAAAAGGUAAUUGGGAUUUAUGAGAAUAAAUUUUGCAAACCAAAUUAUCUUUGUCCAAACAAACUCAAUGCUUUUAGUUUUUUUUUUUUUUCAAUUGGGGGUGUUCCGGCCUACACCCGACUAGUCCCCAACCGCGUGGAGAGCAUGUCCCACUGAUCCUUAAGAAAUUACGCCGGAUUGCUGAGCUCAGGAUCAAACCCAAGCCGUCUCACCUUAAUGAGGGUUACACGAUCACCCGAACAACCCGUCGAGGACGCUUUUAGCUAUUUGAUGUAUCAUUUUUUACCCUCCUUUUAAGUGCCUAAUGAAGCUCUUUAUGAGUUAAUUACAUGUAAAUAUUUUUCUAGUCCUAUGCGCCGCAACUUGCAGCCAUGAAACAAAGGGCUUGUUUGGAAGUGAAGUUUUUGAUCAAGUUUUUUAGCUACUAGUUUUUUAACAACUUUUGCUACAGGAAUCCCAAAAAACUUAUCACAGUUUUUUACUUACACACUUCAAAAUAAUAUACAAAAAACUUUCCCUUCAACUUUUCUUCUUUUUCCUCCCCCACCCAACCGCCCACCACCUCCACCACCGCUUCCGGUGCCAAUAACUAUUCCGGCCAACUUUUGCCGGCCUUCCUCUUUUUUUUUUUUUUUUCUCUCCCUCCCCUCCCCCUUUGACUGAUAUGUUGGUUUCCAAAAUCUCUUUUUUCUUUUUUUUCUUUCUCCCUCCCCCCUCCCCUCUUUCCCUCUACCUUUCCCCGCCACCUUCCCCUUCCCGCAGCUUGGGGAGAAGGAAAAUUGAAAAAAAAAAAUUACACUCAACUGUUGCUGCUUAUUCUGCUAGCAAGAUAAGGAAAGGAGAGGGAGAUGGAACAUUGGAAAAAAAAAAUCAUUUAUAUUGCUGCAAAACUCAUGUGCAAAACUCAAGUGGCGGCAGAGGGAGAGGGAGAGAGAGGGGUGGCGGGGGAGCUUUUGCAUGGGUGGGGGAAGGGGGUUGCGGGCAGAGAGAGAGGAAGGGGGAGCUUUUGUAGGGGUGGAGGAAGGGGUGACGGGGCAGAGGGAAGGAAAAGGGGAAAGGGAGGAGAGGGGUGGCGGGAGGUGGCAUUGGUGGAGUUGCUGCUGGGGUGGUGGAGGUAACGGGGAAGGGGGAGUGGGAAGGAAGAAGAAGAAGAAGAGAGGAAAGAAAAGAAAACAAAGAAAGAAAAAGAAAGAAAAAGAAAAAGAAAGAAAAGAAAAAAAGAAAGAAAAAAAGAAAAGGAAAAAAUAAGUUUUUCACCCUACAAAAACUUCUACAAAAUUUUUCACCUUACAAAAACUUCUACAAAAUUUUUUCAAAAACUUCUACCGUGCACUACAAUAAAGGGCCUGUUUGGAAGCGAGUUUUUUUGGCCAAGUUUUUUAGCUACAAGUUUUUUAACAACUUUAGCUACAGGAAGCCAAAAAAACUUAUCAAAUUUUUUAACCUACACACUUCAAAAUAUCUAAUACACAAAAAACUUCUAUCUUUCUUCUUUUUUCUCCCCCACCCCAUCCACCAUACCUUCAUUGCCGGCCACCAUCUCUGCCGCCGUUUCCGGCGCCGGCCACCUAUUCCGGCAUCGACGUUCCCAAAAUUUUUUUUCCUUCCUUUCUCCCUCCCUCUCUCCUUCGCUCCCCUCUCCCCCUCCCCUCCCUGGCCAAACAGCCCAGAACUAUGCAGCAGUAGCAGUUACUUUCCUACGCUAUGGCUGACGGGAAAAUGGGGGAACAAGGAAGGGGGUGGCGGGAAACGGGAAACGGGAAGGGAAACAAAGGAGGGGGAAACGGGAGGGGGGUGGCGGGGCAGAGAGGGUGGCAUGCAGAUGGGAGGGGAAGGGGCAGGGAGAUGGCGGGGCAGCGGGGAAGGGGGAAGGGGCACAGGGGAAGGGGAAGAGGGCUGGCGGGAGGAGGGGGUGGCGGGGCAGAGGGAUGGCAUGCAGAGGGGAGGGGGAAGGGGCACAGGGGGUGGCGCGGCAGCAGGGGAAGGGAGUGGCGCGGCAGCGGGGGAAGGGCUAGCGAGGGAGGGGGUGGCGGGACAUAGGGGAGGGGAAAGGGGCGGAGGGACUGGCAACGGGGAAGGGCUAGCGAGGGGAGGGGUGGCGGGACAUAGGGGAGGGGAAAGGGGCGGAGGGACUGGCAACGGGGGAAGGGCUAGCGAGGGGAGGGGUGGCGGGACAGAGGGGAGGGGAAAGGGGCGGAGGGACUGGCAACGGGGGAAGGUAGCGAGGGGAGGGGUGGCGGGACAGAGGGGAGGGGAAAGGGGCGGAGGGACUGGCAACGGGGAAGGGCUAGCGAGGGGAGGGGGUAGCGGGGCAGAGGGCGUGGCGUGCAGAGAGGAAGGGGAAGGGGGCUGGCGGGGGAAAUGCAGAGGAGAGGAGAAGGGGAAAGGGAGGAGAGGGGUGGCGGGAGGGAGAAGGAAGAAGAAGAUGAAGAAAGAGAGGAAAGAAAAGAAAAAGGAAAAAAGAAAGAAAGAGAAAGAAAAAAGAAAGAAAGAAAAAAAAAGAAAAGGAAAAAAAAAUUCAUCCUACAAAAAUUUUUACAAAAUUUUUUAUCUUACAAAAACUUCUGCAAAAAAAUUAUUCACCUUACAAAAAUUUCUAUAAAAUUUUUUCAAAAACUUCUACAGUGCACUACAGUAAAAUUUUUAGACAAACUACCAAAAAACUUAGGUUCUAAACAGGUCCGAAGUUUUAGACAAACUCCCAAAAAACUCAAGUUCCAAACAGUCCAGAAAUUGGCUGUGAUUUCUCCUAUUAGGCAUUAUAAUUGCAGUCUUAAGAAGUAGUAGUACAAGUUGCCUAAAAAAAAAAAGAAAAAAGUAGUAGCACUGGUACUUGCCAAGAGGCUCCGAACGAGCUUCAAAACCCUCCAUUUCUCUUGAUUGAGGCUCACACACUAGAUACACUCAAAAAACACGCACUCGCGUUGUUCUCUUUCUUCAUGGAAGACGAUGAUGAGUUCGGAGAUCUCUAUACUGAUGACGUCUUAAAGCCUCUAACGACGUCGUUUCAAUCUCAACCUCAGCAGCAGCAGCAGCAGCCACCUGCUCCGCCUCCUCCUCAGUUCCAGCUUGAAAAUAAAGAAUCAUCCAAACCGACGGCGUAUCAAGGCCGUCCGAUCGAUCUAAACGUCAAUAGCGAUAAGGAUGAUGAUGACGACGAUGAUGAUGAGGAUAAAUUUUUCCGAGCUGCGAAUUCCAGUUCCACUGGAAAGAUUCAAACCCUAGCCUCGUCGCAAACCGGAUUCUAUUCUCGUCCUGACCCGACGAAUUUUGAUUUGAAUAAGAUUUCCGGUCAAGUGGAGGGGAGCUCGGGGGGUUUAGCUGGGGCUGGAUCGGAUUCGCAAGCUAGGGUUUUGGGGACGAAGGAAGGAGAUGCGAAAUUGCCGGAAAGGGCUCGGGGAGUUCCGGCUUAGGUGACGACGCUGAUAUUGACGUCAUGGUUGAAGAGAGGGACGAAAAAGACGACAAUUUCGUUGUUAAAGGUGGAAAUUUGACGGAUAGAAGUGGAAAUGUUGAGAAUUUUGGCACGGGAGACCCGAUGAUUCCGGGGCUGUCGAUUCCCGGAGUUUCUGGCAGAGUAGAAAGCCGUGCCAACGCUAAUUAUGAUGAUGAUUGGGAUAGUGAUAGCGAGGAUGACUUGCAAAUCGUGUUGAAUGAUACUAAUCAUGGGCCGAUGGGGAUGGAGAGGAUGGGAGGAGGAGGAGGAGGUAUGGGGGAUGAAGAUGACGACGAUGAGGAUGACGAAGAUGGGGAGCCAUUGGUGAUUGUUGCAGACAAUGAUGACCCGAGCCAUCAGCCAAUGAUGAUGGAAGAGCAAGAUUGGGGAGGGGAGGAAGUGGGAGCUGGUGGCGAUGGGGAGAAAAAGGAAUUAGGUGAAGCUGCAAAAAUAAAUGGGGCAGGAGGUGGAGCUGUGGCGGCACAGAAGAUUGGGUAUAGCGGUCACGGGUAUCAUCAUCCGUUCCAUUCACAGUUCAAGGUCAGUGAUGUUGCCGCACACCUGGGGUUUGGUGCUUUCACCCUCUUGUUUGAUGAGAACUUGCAAUGUACUAAACUGGCUAGUAAUUGUUGUAUAGAGUUCUGGAAAUUGGUUACAUUAGAAUUCAUCAAUGCGGUUGUCGUAUGUGUUAAUGAGGUUGACUGUUGUACUGGUUUCAAAUCUCCAGUAAUAAAAUUUAGUAUGAUUUGUGACCAAUUUCAUACUCCAGUGCUUUUACUCAUUCUUAGCUUCUUACUUGUUCAUUUGGCGGCUUUAUAUUUUACAGACGAUGAACAUACGUCCAAUGUGGCAAUAGCAUGUAGCUUCUUGUUUCUGGCGCAUAGGGAACUAGUUUUUUCAGUCCAUCCUAAUCUUUUUGUGCUUUCGAGGAGAGUUUCCGGUGACCAUACACAACCUUAUUCACCAAGCGUCUUCUAAAAGUUGUCAAUCUGUAUGUCUGUCCAAGUUUUGAGUAGCAGAAUUCAAUGAAUAACCAAUGUCAAGAUUGAACUAAAAUUGUCUGCUAUCACUCAUUCCUAAAAUUUCUUCUGAAACUGCUCCUUGGGGUUAAGUGUUGAGAAGAUAGCUGGCAUUUUACAAGAACUGGUUAUGAGUGAAUUUCCUUGCUUGCCUGGGUGGCUUGCAUUGAGCAUCUAGACAUGCUGCAACACAGAAGUUAUACAACUUCAUGCAACAUGCCGCCAGCGACCCAGUUUUGUCCUUUUGAACCUUGAACUGAUUAUUGCUUGUGGAAACAAAGCAAAUGGUGCAUUUAGCAGUUUCCCUUGCACUGGUGCAAACACAUUUUCCUACACGUUGCGACUCACUAUUGGCUGGAAACCAGCUGUUAUUGUUGUUUGAUGAGAAAUGUUGUAAAAUAUCUACAUCAAGUAUUUAGCUACCUUAAGUUUUAGAAAAUCCCUUUUGGUAGUUAUUAUAUUUCGUAUCUUUUUUCAAAAAUUUCUUGGUAUGGAAUUGAUUUUAGUAUGAGGAUAUCAUUUUCACCUGAAGUAAUUACACUGGUGGCCUUUUAAGUGUCGUUUAGAUGUUAGUUAAUAGAUGCUUCUAACUAAAGCUAUUCCACAGCUGUGACAAAAUGAUGUUGCUUUUAAUUGAUUUCUCUUUGUUAUUAGUCAUUUGUUAGCUUCUUGGUACUUUAUGCUUUUCAUUUUCAACUAAUAAUAAUUUAUCAAGAUGCUAAAGCCCAGAUUGCCAUCUUCUAUCAUGACACAAACUGUUCCUUUUUUAGGGUCUCUAACCCUUCAAUUUUUCCUUUCCUAUCCUACUCAUUAGCCUUAUUAGUUGAAAUACUGUUGAUAUUUUCGAAUAAUGCAAGAUAUCCGAACUACGUGAAAUUUGUAAUUUUUGUACUGUGAAUGUUUAGCUAAAGGUUUUCGAUAUUUAGUUGAUUUUUUUUUAGAUCAUUGAGCAUGUGUUUGAAAGGCUUGCGUCAUAUUAAAGAUUUGCUCUUAUGUUGAUUCUCCAUUUGUUGAUACUUUUUCUGUUCUUUUCUUUGGAAAACCGUGUAGUAUGUGAGACCUGGUGCGUCACCAAUGCCUGGAGCAGCUGCUAUGGGUCCCGGGGGCACUUCAGGUCAAGUUCGUCCACCUGUGAGCAUGGUUCCUGGUGCUGGACGUGGCAGAGGUGAUUGGCGACGACGACUGGAGUAAAGGGUCCUCCAGAAUGCAGAAAGGUUUUCAUCCAGGCUAUGGAAUGCCUAUUUGGGGAAGUGGGGCUUCAGGACGUGGAUUGGAGUUUACACUUCCAUCACAUAAGUAUGUUUAUUUUGAUGAGGAUACUGGUAGUGCUAUUCUAUCACAAGCAUUUUGCUCAUUUUCUAAAAAAAUUUAAACAAAAAAUGUCCAUGGGGUGAAUGGAUUUGAAGUUAAAACUGUUACAUCCACCUGCUGAAAGCUGUUAAGGUUGGGGUUAAGACAUUCUCAUGUUCACCUGCCGAAACUGUUAUUUGGCAGGCAAAUGUUUUGAUCUUCUCAAGUUAAAGACCUAUUUUCUGCCUUAGUUGCUUUUCUGUAGAAGUGCCUUUUUGUAGCCUUUCAUGGUGGAGAUGUUUGCAUGUUCUAAUACAAACAUCUUUUCCGAUACAUACAAAGUCCAAAACAAGUGGUUGGUGGAAAUCUUAAGCUUUUGUUAAUUGUCGAUAAGUUUAUGCAUGUAUUUGAUUAUCUCAUGCACAUUUGGGAUGCGGAUAUUAAGGUAAAGUAUGGAACUUUCACAAUCCCUGGAGAGAUUGUUCACUAAUAGACUAGGGGAUAAGUAAUUCAACUUAUUCACAUCCAGAUCAUGAAUGUUUGGAAUCCAUAUUAUGCAAGGAGACAUUGCUUUUGCUAAUUCAAUUUGAAGAGUGAUAUAAAAUUGGUCUAUUUCUGGCAUCAUAUCCAUAGCGCAUUCAUCAUGGUUAGCAGCUCCAGCUCCAUAUCAAGGCUAUAUUGUCUCUUUCAUCAAUAUUGAUUUAUUUUGCUGUUUAGCUGAUUUGAGAAAGACAAUAGAUACUUCUAAUUUUAGAUGAGCAAAAUAACCAAGAAUGCAAGUAGAAGGGACUUAAUUCUUUUAGGAGAAGUGAAAAGCUGAAGGUCAACAGUAGUUUUGGGAUUCUUACUCUUGGAUCAGUUUAGACACUUGGGUACUGUCAUGCUAGUCAAACUUGUCGAAUCAUUAAAUCUUUCCCUUAGAUUCUAGACAGGUGUCGAGUCGGAGUUGCCUCUUCCAUCUUUGGCUUUUACUCAUGAUUGGUACAAACGUAUAAAGGAAAUGGUGAGGUUGUCUAAUCAUAUGUGCUUCCUUGUCUGCCAUGUACAUUUUGGUCUUGGUCACUUCUGUAACUUGUCUGUCAAAUUAAACUUUUUUACAGUAACUUUGUAAUGUAUAUCUAUAAAGGAAACAAGAAAGGGCAAAAAUUGGGAAGAAGGGAGAGAGAUACAGAAAGGCAGCAGAGGAAGUACAUCUCUAGUUUGUAUUUAUGAACCAGUGAUAGAAUUUUUUUGUUUCUGUGAGGGCCAUGUUGAAUUAUGUUUGAAGUGUUUUUAAUCCUAGACCAUCUAUUACCACUGAUAGUAUGCCUGUGUUUGGAUAUUAAGAUCAGUAAUCAUCUUUACUUGACCUGGAGAAUAUCCCAUUGGAGAAGUUUGACAUCUAGCAUUAGACUCGUAUGGGAUUGAGAAAGAUGAGGAGGGUUGUAUAUUACACUUCCUUAAACCUCAGAGAGCAAGAAUGCAAAUUCGACGAGGAUACAGCUUGACAUAUGCAAGCUUGAUCAUUACACUGUAACAGAAGGUUAUUAAUUGAGGAAGAUCACAAAUUUCAUAACAUUGGACUGCCAUAACAUUGGACUGCAAGUGAAGCCUUAUAGCAUUUCACGUUGAAAAUACUCAUUAUCCUGUAAUGCGGUGAAAGGUUGACCCUUUGAGCUAGUAUAAGUAAAUAAGCACUGAAAACUCUUUUUUGUCCUUUUGAGAAAAACUUUGUGGAAAUUCUUAUUUGAGUUUGUAAGUAUCCUUGUUAGAGAUACUCCCACUUUAGGAAAAAAUUUCUACCUCCUUGUAAAAGCUUGCUGCUUUAAACUUCAUUGCCGGUCAGAGUUUCUGGGUUGUCUCGAUGAUAAAUUGGUUUUGGUGUUUGUUAACAUGUCUGUUUUGCUUUUUAAAAAGAUACUGCCUUUGGUUGUGCAUGGCGGCCAAGUAGUAUUUCUAGACAAAGAUUUUGCCAUUUUCUAUUUGUUUCUGUGCAUGUAAUGGUGAAGUUUUUUUUUAAAUUAAAGUUUGUUAUAAUUGGCCUUUUAACCUUAUGUUUUAUUACCAGGACCAUAUUUGAAGUUGACAUUGAUGGUUUUGAGGAAAAACCAUGGAGACAUGCUGGUGUGGAUAUAACAGAUUUUUUCAACUUUGGAUUGAACGAGGAAAGUUGGAAAGAUUAUUGCAAACAGCUCGUAGGUUUCACCAACAGCUUUUUGCAUGCCUUAAAAAGAAUUUUACCUUGUGAUUUAUCCUUCUACUUUUAUAAUUUUGUGUGAUUGUGUAUCAAUUCCUUGUUGGGUAAAUCUGAUCUGCACAAAGUGUAAUAAAAAAUUGUGUGCACAUUUUAAAAUAAAAAUUAAUGCUAAUUUUCAGGAGCAACUCCGUCUUGAAACAACAAUGCAAAGCAAAAUUCGUGUUUAUGAAAGUGGGAGAACAGAACAGGUACACAGUCUUUUAAAAUUUGGAUAUGUAAUAUUCUGAAUAUUUGCAUGAGAUUUUUUGUGGUUUAGAAAGAAAAUUGUAUUUUAUAUCUGAUUUGUUUUUCCUCUUGUAUUAUGUUCAGGAGUAUGAUCCAGAUCUUCCACCUGAGCUUGCAGCAGCUGCUGGUAUUCAAGAUACUACAUCUGAAAGCUUGAAAGUUGGGAAGCCAGAUGCUGUUCAAAAUGACUUAGGCAGAGUACUGCUCGUGUGCGACCACCCUUGGUAUGUAGUUUUCUUAGACCUUUUGCUUUGCUACUCGUGAAACAUUUUGACCAUUUUAUAAAAUUCAUGUUGUUAUUUUACUUCUAGGCUAAAUUUUUGGUGCUAGGAUCACUUCUUUCUCUACCUCAUCUGAUUGUGGAAUAUUUUACAGAUUAAAUAACCAAGAAAAGAAAAUGCACCUAUAGAGUUCAUUCUCUCUACUGAAUUGAUUUAAUUAUUUACUUUUUAAUCUGCCACCAGCCAACUGGAAGAGCAAUACAAGUGGAAACUGGUUAUGGUGAACGUCUGCCGUCUAUUGACACUAGAAAACCGCGGAUUAGUGAUUUAGAUGUAAUUAUUGAGGUAAGUUUUCAGGUCUUCCUAUUCUGUCUAACUCAACCUUCGUUUUUGUAUCAAUUGUAAUGUAGUUUUCAUGUAUUGAUGUUUCUUUUCUAUUUUCUUCCUUAACAGAUUGUGUGUCAAGACCCUGCUGAUGAUGAUACCAACACUGGAAAUGAGAUGACAGAGCAAGCUGACAAUGAUCCUUCGAGGGAGGAUCUUAGGGAUGGUGAUGAGUUUGAAGACCUUCCCAAAGAAGAUACUGAAGAUGUGGAUCGUGUUCCACAUGCUCACAGCAGUCGCAGGAGGGAAGUUGUGGGCGGAAGAGUGCCAAUUUCGAAAUCUGUUCACGAUAACUUGGCUAAAGGAAAUGGCGAUUUGCCUCUCUCUUCGGAAGCACCGUCAGCAUCCCAUCCUGACUCAGAGAACAGACACCUGUUUGUCCUGGUAGAGAUUUUGCUCAUGAGGAGAGGUAUGAAAAAUUGCUGGAAAUUCAGUGCAUUUUUAUUUUUAUCUUGAACUCUUUUUAUGGCAUAAGCAUGUGAAACCACUUAAUUGGAUUUGAAAUUUUGAUAAAUUUUUCUCCUUAUUAUGCUGUAUCACAUUUUUAACUGUCAGUCUAUAUAGUAGAGCGAUUCAAUCCAGAGCUUUGCUUGUUACUUGGUUAGUAGGUCCUAUCUGUAUGCAGAAGGAUGAUGGCUUACUAGAGAUUAAUGAUCAUGAAAUUCAUAGAGGGACGAAGCUCACCUUGAUGACAAGUCUGCUCCAGCAUUUUUGUUAGUUAAAUUUGCUUGCUGCAGCUCCCUUCCACAAAAGCUUCAGCUUUGUGUUUUGGCUGUUAGUGGACAACUAACUGUGCAACUUUUUAAGUUGUUGACAAUGUAGGAGACUAUACAUGAAUUUUCUUCAAACAUUCUUGUGAUGAACUGUCGCUGAUGUUAUACACAAAAUUAGUUGUGACUUGCAUUUAGGUUUUGGCUUCAUGAUCAUCAUUGACUUGUUAAGUGACAGUAAUUUUCUUUUUGUGAAUCCAGGCGGACAAAGGAGAGAGCACGUGACAGUUCCCCCAUGAUUGCCAAUAAGGAUUGUACUGCCUGAAGAACGAAUAACUGAUAAUAAAGAAUCUUCAGUUGAAAGUUUAGAAGGCAAACAUAGUCUUCCAUCAUCUCCUUUAGCUGUUCGAGGUGCUAGUGAACAAAAUAGUGAACCUAAAGAUGCUAUGAAUGAUGAAGUUGCCCUGACUGAGAUAGGCUCUGACAUGAUUGACAAGGAUGCGUCUUUGAAUGCUAAAACAAGUAGUGAUUCACUUACAGAUGAAACAGGGAACCAUGCUUUGAAAAAACAGAAAGUGAGUUCAAAUGAUGAACAGCAUCUGCCUCAAGAAAUUGAUGAGGAUGAAGACUCAAAAGCUGCAAGAAGUAGUGAAAAUAGUAAAGCAAAAUCAGGAAGUAGCAAUUACCGGAAGCUACGGGACAGUGUUGAAGAAGAAGAGGUUCAAGGAGCGCGCUCAAAACACAUGGGUAAUCUUAAAAGGUCAACUGUGGGCAGCGAGGACAGUGUCCGAAGGAAACUUCGUGAUGAUAGACAAGAAAAUGAUAGACACCGCACCUCAGUGAAAGGGAGGGAAGAUUUAUAUCAGCACAAAGGGUUGGAUCCUUAUUCUGCACAUCCUUCUCGAGGGAAAUCUGUGAAUAUAGACCUGCGAAAGGAUAUGGAUAGUAUUGAGGGAGCCCGUCAUCGCAGAGAAGAAGAUUUGCAUGGGAGGAGACCUAGAGCUGAAGACACAAGAAAAAGGGAGCAUAGGGAUGAGACUGAUUCUAGACACCGCAGUAAGGUUCGAGAAAUUGAAAGAAUGAAAAAAGAUGAACAUUAUCAACUGAGAAAACAAUUGGAUAAUGGGAAUUGGAAAGGCGGUUAUGAUAAAGAUGUGGGAUUGAGGCACAGAGACAGGGAGGAUAAUGUGAAAAGUCGAAAUGAAAUAAUAGAUGACCUUCACAACAAGAGAAGGAAAGACGAUGCACAGUUAAGGAGGGAGCAUGCUGAAAAGGAAGAAAUGUUGCAUGCUCAGCGAGAAAGUAGCAGUCGUAGAAAGAGAGAAAGGGAUGAUGUGUUAGAUCACCGGAGGAGGGAUGACCAAGUAAGAAUGAGAGAUGAUGAUCAACAUGGUGUUAGGUACAAAGAAGAGGGAUUGUUUCAGAGGGAAAGGGGCGAGAGGCAACGAGAGCGAGAGGAAUGGCAUAGGCUUAAACAAUUGAAUGAGGAUAUUCCAUCAAAGAAGGAGAAAGAAGACUUGCGGGUUGGAAUGAGGAGUGGGCGAGCUACUGAAGAGAAAACAUGGGGCAGUCAAUCUAGAGGCAAAGAUGACCGCAGAAGUUCUGAUAAGGAGUACCAUUCAAAGGAUGCAUUGCGGCAGAGUGAGUUAAUCAGCAGGAGGGAUCGAGCUGAAAAUGAGAGUCUUUCACAGCAUAGGGGUGUGAGGAGUAUUAUGCACAUGGGAACCAGCUCAAUACUGAUGAGAGAAGAGGAGCAAGGCAUGAGAGGAUGAACACUCGUGAUGAUCGGGCUGCCAAUGUUGAGAACUACAAGGUGCAUGAGAGAAAACACAGAGAAAAUCCAAGAAGGGUAAGGAAACUGAGAGUGUUGAUCGGAAUUCUUGGCCCGUUCUAGGAAGAAUCAAGAUGAAAUCAGUGCGCAGACAAGCGACAUGGUAUGUUACAUUUCUGAACUGGCUUUUCUUUUUUCUUCUUCCUGUUUUUCUGAAGGGAUGGGAUUAUUGAUUAAAUAGCCUUGCAGGUUUAGUUAGGCCAUUUACUGCCUGACUUUCAUUAACCAACUUCCCCUUGGGAUGAUUUCGAAUCCUGUUGCCUGCCUUUGUGAUUGGAUGGGAUUGAGUGGUUUUUUUAUCUCAUUUUCAAGGAUUAUGUGCUGAAUGGUUCUGGAUAUUGUGACAAAGCUGACCUUGAAUACAUGAAAUGAACAUUUUUGGACUUGAGAUACUUAGUGGAAAUUCAUUGGCCGUCCAUUCUCUAAUAAUUGAUCAUGGGAGGAAUGCACGUUCAGUUUUUCAUUACUACUGGAUUUUGCUUAAUGAAGUGGAGAUUUUCUAAACUUUCUCAUGCCCAUAGCUAGACGACCAUUUGAUGCGUCUUGAUGUCUACGCUUUCCUGGUUGACUAUUUGUUUUCAUAUAUCCUUUUACUCUUAUGGUCUCUGUGAGGACCUUGUUUACUUUUGAUCAACUACUUCUUUAGCACUUAUCUUGAAACUUAAGCGAAUAUUUUUUCUUUUAUUCCAUGUUCUCUGGCACAGUAUGCAUAUCAUCAAUGAGAAUUGACUUUUUCAUGAUUUUUAGUUUUUCUUCUCCCUAGGCAAAUCUCUAAAUUUUUGGUCAUAGAACUGUAACUUCAUACCUUUUCUAAGUUUAAUUAGCAAAUUAGUAACCCUGGGUGUGUUAUCCCAAGCGAGACUGCCAAUGUUUGUAAAACUUGUAUAAUCCUUCAAACCAUUUUUGUCUAAAGAAGCUUCUGGAAAGCUGAUAUUUCCAAUGUACCAUUUAACAUGCAAUUUCUGUGCAUGGUACCAUAUAUUUCCUUGUGAUGCACUGCUGAUGUCAAAACAAUUUUGAAUGUCCUUCAAUACCUUAAUCUUUGAAUCGGAAAAGGUGACUAAUAGAUUUUUUUUUCUUUUUAUGAUCAAGUUGUUAUGCAUUGCUGACUCAGGCAAAGCUUAGCAUAGCAAUAAAAAUAGCUGGACUGUAAUAUCUUGUUGAACAUGAUAGCACUUCUGAGAAUGCUUGGCUAGUAUUAAUAUGGUACACAUCUAGAUUCUUCUUGAUCUUCUAGUAGAAGGGAUUGUGUCUAGCUUUCAGCCUCUUUGUAUGGUUUCAUUGUAUUUGUCAAACUGGAAAUAGCAAUAUUUGCUUUGACUAGCUUAUAAAAUGGUAGCCAGUUAAUCCCAAUGAAUAAGCGCGAUAUUAGUCAGAGUAAUUCUUUGUGACCAAAACAUCACCAUGUGGAUACUUCUUUUGCAAAUCUGCUUGUGUCGAUUCUAUAAUGUAUCUGUGGCUAGGCAGCCGUCUCCAUUGAUUGUAGCAUGUGGUAUAUCCCUUGCACAGAUCAGAAUCAUGCUGGCAAGUAAAUGGGAAGUACAUGUCAAGUUACAUCACACAGAUGCAUGGAAGUAUUUGUAUCUGUAUGUAUAGCUUCAAAUUUAUGAUUUUCCUCUUUCUCAGGUGAGAUUCAAAGGCAGAAUUGAGCAGGGAAAAAGUGAAAAUGAGAUCCAUGUGAAUAUUCCGCCAUCUAAAAAGCAUAGGGAAGAGGCUUCAUCAGAUGAUGAAGUGUCGGAAUCCAGGAGGGGACGCUCCAAACUAGAACGCUGGACCAGCCAUAAGGAAAGGGAUUUCAGUAUCAGCAGCAAGGCUUCAUCUUCCGUGAAGAUGAAGCAGCCUGAGGCAUACGGUAGUGGCGGGCCUUCCAUUGGCAGCAAACUUCAUGAUGAAGCUUCUAACCCAGUGGAGGAUAAGCAACACCCCUCAGGUAAUGAGAAAGAUGCUGCCAGUUUGGAGACGAAUAACACUGAUAAGAAGCCCAUAGAGGAUAGACACUUGGACACUGUGGAAAAACUAAAGAAGCGAGUGAACGUUUCAAACUUCCAAUGCCGAGUGAGAAAGAAGCCACAACAGUCAAAAAGGUGGAAAAUGAAGCUUUGUUGUCUGCCCAAAGUGAAAGUCGUGCAGAUUUUGAAGUUAAAGCAGAGCGUCCAGCUCGUAAAAGGAGGUGGACCGGCAAUUAAUUGCGAGAAGACAUUGAUUUUAGGUGGAUAAAGCAGUUCACUUCGUGGAGCAAAUAUCUCAUUGGCUAUCAUAUUUUUAAAUUUGGCACCCUCGUGGAGAUGUCCUUGAUAUGUGAUUUGAGUACCUCUUUGAUUCAGAGUUCUGUACCUUUCAGCAUAGAGGAUACGACCUUGUGAUGUGCUGCAGGCAGCCAUCUAUUUCAGUUCUAAACUUUCUGUUAUUGUCAUCUGAAGUAUAUGUAUAUACUGAUAAAUGUUGACAUCAUACCUCAGCAAGCUGGGUAAUAGAAAGUUUGAUAGUGUUUGUAGUUAGUGUAUUACUAGUAGCAAUUUGUAUUGCAUGGUCACCUAAUGUUCCUGACCAUGCCAAGAUCGGAUCUGGAUUGCCUGAUGCCUCGGUGCUUUUGGAGGAGAAGCUCUUCAUUUGCUGCUUUCCUCAAAUUAUAGUAAGGGAAUGGGAGAUACUGCGCAGCCAGAACAUGGAGCCGGGGUCUUCGUGAAACCUGUAGGUAGGAGCUCGUAGGUUAUUUGAAUGAGAUUAGAUUUUACCUGUUUUAGAUUGCAAUGUAUUCUAGAUGUAGAGCCUUUUUGAGUCACAAAGGCAACAGGCUAUAUAGCGAUUCAUACAUCUUCAUUGUGCUGAGACCUCUAAUGGAGUGACAAACAUAUGUCAAAAGCAAUAUAGAAUGCAAUAUUUAGACCAGUUCGCUUUUUAGCAGUGUUUACUUGGGGUUUGCCUGCAGAUAUAAUAUCAACUCCGACCAGGUGGUUAACACAACAUUCGUAGGGUUGAAUUGGAUUCCUGCAACCAAACCAAGUUCUUAGUUAUGAUUUGGGAGGAUAAAGUAUUCGGCCAAGCUGUGAGAUUUUGGAAAUGUGAUGGUUACCGUGGUGGGAUAUAAAGUAUUCGACCAUUAGAAAUAAUAACGAGUUUUUCCCUUCACCAUUGAGUACAUAUUUGAGAAAGGUAUUGCAAAUUAGCUGUUGGCUACCACCAUAGCUUGUAAGAUUUGGUGGGGUGGGAGGUCAACGGUUUAAACGUUGUCUUUCACCAUUUGCCACUAUAUGUGGCUUGUUAUUUAAGUGUUUUUUUAAACGGCGUACAUCCGUCUGGGACGAUGAUUCAGUCCUUUCCGAUCUCUCAUUAGUCUUAUUCGGGUCCUCUUCCCUUAGUAUAGAUUAAGUGUAGGUCUAUUGUAAACGUGUAAACAAGUCGAGUUGAGUACAAUUUUGACUUAAUCGAGUCGAGUCUCAAAUUAAUUUUACGAAGUUCAAACUUGAGAUCGAACUCGAUGAAUUCAAAAUGUCGAGCUCGAGACUCAAAUUUGAGUUGAGCUUAAAAAUUUUUAAAAAAUAAUUAAUUUAUUUUAAAAAAUAAAUAAAUAUUUUAUUUUUUUAAAAUAAAUAAAAUAAUUAUUUUUCUAACAAAUAAUAAAAUAUUAAAUAUAUAUAUGUAAUUUUACUAUUAAAAUAAAAAAAUAUAUAAUCGAGCUCACGAGUCGCUCGCGAGCUAACAAACUUUGAAUUUGAGUUCGACUUGAUCCUCGAACUCGAUAUUGAUUGAAUUCGACUUGAACUCGUAUUUGAGCGGCUCGCGAGCGAUUUGAUUCGUUUGCAAUCAUAGUCUAUCGCGUCAGAAAAAAAGGGAAGGUAUUGCAAAUUCUACCUACACGGCUUGGCUACAAAUAAUAAUGAUGGGAUAUAUUUUUUUUAUUUACAAUUUGUCUAUAACCGAGUGAUAAGAUUUGACUCAUUAUCACUAUUUGGCGAUAUAAUAUUGAUAUUGACCCUAGUGCAGCGCAUCAGAAUUAUUAGUGGUGUAUGUGAAAAAUCAUAUUUUUUGUUUAAAAAAAAAUUAAUGAAUGCUCAUGUCAUUAAGACCAAUCUUAGCAACUACACUAAUAAAUUGAGUGACUAGUGACUAAAUUAAUACCGGAAAAACAAAUGUGAUUUUGGUGCAGAAAUAAGCACAGUAAUAACUUAGGUGCUUUUUCCUAAUUUAGAGUAUAUGAUUUUUAGUCUCAUCACUAUCUGACUAAUAUAUAUAUUCCUAACAACUUAACUUACGAUGUCGGACAUUUAUGAAGUAACGAUAAGCUUACGUCUUACCUACCUAGUCAUGACUGGAUUUACGAAGGUUUGUAACGGACUCCAUGAGUUUAGGAGAUAGAUUAAUCUAAAAUGCGUGCAAUUUAGGCCUAUGAUUUCUACAUAGCUGAAAUAGGUUCGAUUGGCUAGCCCCGUAGUCCAAAAAUGUUACAUAAACUGACUUGAUUCUUGAUGAUUGAAAUACUAUUCCGCCCAAAAGACUUCUGUCUGAUGAAACUGAAGUCGAAAAAGAUCAGAAACAUUUGCAUCUGAAACUUUCUUGAGCCGUCCCAUUGAUUUAACUUGUGAGGGAAUAAAGGAGCAGCAUCAACCCAGCUAAUAGAGGUCACGGGAAAUUUCUUCAUUGGGCAAUCCAUCAAUAUCAGAUGAAGCCGUAAGAGCAGUUUUUUUACUUCCAUCACGUAAUUUGCAGCUAUACUCACCUCUAUGUUUGUUCGUAAUUAAGUUUGAGUUCUACUUUAUCUUGAAGUUUUGCUCCAACUUUUCAGCAACUGCAGGAGAGUCGCCCCGUGACGUAUCUGGGUUAUAGAAAUGUCACAUGCGUAUUAGGUGUUUGUGAGAAUGACUGCUUGAAAGAUGAGUAUUCAUAGUUGGGUUCUCUGCCUGGGAUCGAGUUAUUUAGCUUAUUUGGUCUUCAUUCCAGCUCUUUUUUCUUUUUUUUUGGUUGGGUCAAUGAUGAUGUCAAUAAGAGUAGUAAUUACCUACUGCUGACUGUAAAUUUUUAGUCUGGCAGUUCAUUGAUCAUUUGUAUCAAUUUGCUAAUCAGUCUACUUUACCAUAUGCACUUCCUUUACGGUUGUCCUUUGGCUUAAAUGUUCAUUAAGUUCAAUUGAGAUUGUUCAUUGAUCAUAUUGACUAGGAAAUCAAUGCACGCAAUAGAAAUUUUGAAGAGUUUUGCAGACCGUGUUUCUGUCCUACGUCUGUAUUUUACGCAUUUCAAUCUACUUCUUCGUCUAAUUCAUAAUAUUCUAAUAUCAAGUAAUUGUUGUCUUUAUAACCUAGUGGUGAUUUUGUUUUCAAAAUUGACAGGAAAUCUCUUUGGCACAUCUAAACUCCUGCAGCUCUUAUAACUGGCUUUGGCGAAAGGGAAACUUUAUUCAUCGUAUUAUCCUGGACUUUUGGUACUGCUAAGAACAUUGGCCGAGUAUUUUACAGAUUAUAAUGUCCUUGCGUAGGCCUCCGCUUCCUCGCCUUCUCCUGAACAAUGUCUCUUGCAUGCGAAAUGCUCAGCAAAUACUUCGUCAUGUAAAUGUUUCUGUUCAUGAUGGUGGUCACUUGUGCUGACAGGCACCAAUGGCUCAGGCAAAACUACUUUCUUGCGCAUGUUAGCAGGAUUUCCAAACCAUCAGCAGGUGAGAUACUCUGGAAUGGUCAUGACGUCACAGAAUCUGGCGUUUUCCAUCAGUACAAGCUUCAGCUUAAUUGGCUCUCUCUUAAAGAUGCUAUCAAAGAUAAGUUCACCGUCCUUGACAAUGUUCAGUGGUUUGAAGUUCUUGAAGGCAAGCAAGGAAGGUCUCUGCCUGCUUUGGAGCUUAUGGGACUUGGACGAUUGGCAAAAGAGAAAGCAAGAAUGCUUUCUAUGGGUCAACGAAAAAGGCUGCAGCUAGCAAGGCUGUUAGCAAUUGAUCGGCCAAUUUGGUUACUUGACGAGCCUUCCGUGGCAUUGGACGAUGAUGGGUGAAAUUGCUAGAAUAUAUAAUUGCAGAGCACAGAAAGAAGGGAAGUCGCAUUGUGGCCACUCAUCUGCCAAUUAAGAUUGACGAUGCAAUGAUCUUAAGAUUGCCGCCAAGUUCCCAAGGAGGAUGACUUUAGUAGACAUGCUUGAUCGAGGUGGAUUAGAUUGAGGAUAUUGAUAUUCCUAAUCCAAACAUGUGAAAUGGUUUAUUGGAGAAACGUCAUGGAUCAAACAAAAAUCACAAGUAGGACUUCAGAUAAAAUGAAGAUUCUUCAUUAAUUGUCACUGUAAGUUUAACAUUUAUGUACAGAGUUUGUGCUUGCUAAAAGGGCAUCCGCAUCUUUCAUUUAAAGAAAACACAGUGAGACAGAGGCAUUUAUUCUAUAACGGUCUUUCUUUUGUUUCUGGUUCUAUUCUUUGGUGCAUGGCCUCUAAAUAACCAUCCUUGCAUGGACUAAUCAGAAAUCCAUCAUGCAACACUUUUGUUGCCUUCAUCCAACAUUUCGUUGUUCAUGUUGCAUGAUUUUAGUCUUCAAUCUAUAUGCUUUGUGAUCAUGGCAAUAGCAUCUUUGAAAUCUUGUGCAGAGCCUGUGCUCAAGGAAAACCAAAUUAAUUCUUGGGAAGUUGAGGAUAAGUAGUUUCAGCAAUCUGUACUUCAUUCUCGCUCUCGCCACAACGCUGGGAAGGUUGGGCUGUUGGGUGAUAUGUCCAGCAUUCCCAUUUUGUAUCGCAUCAGAGCAAAAUCUGAAUUUGUUAGUGCCUCAAUGUUAGAUGGGAUCUUUAGUUCCUCAAUAUAUUUGCCUCAGUUGCACUAGAAAUCAAUGUCCGUACUUCCACAAUUUUGCACUAAAAGUUACAUCGUGUCAAAGAUGAUGGGAUUUACACUUAUUUCACUUACUUAACUUAAGAUUUAAUAGUAUGAAAAUGCAUUCAUUUCCUCUGCAUUGAUAUGACAUAAUACUAUCGGAGUGAAACAGGGGGUCUAAAGGAGAACAGAGGUUAGACUAUAUUAGUAACAAGUAAACCUUUUGUGUGUAUUUACAAAUAUUUGGGGAAUAAAUACCAAUCGUAAGGUCUGAGACGACCCAGAAAGCACUUGAUCAUAUCAUGAUUAAUUUUGUAAGCCUACUUGGGUAUUGAGUAUUUACUUGUAAAACUGAAUUCUUUGGAAUCGAUAUUUGCAACUCCGGAAAAAGAAUUCAGUAAAAUUUUUCUUACAUUGAACCCUUUAUAUUAUAUAUGUGUGGAUAUAGGUAAACUUUAGCCGCACAACUUCAUUAAUUCUAGAAAAGUUAAAAGCUCUGAAUGAGAUUUUGCGUCCGGUAAUACAUGGGAUGCCUUCUCUAUUGAUUAUCAAUUGGAAACUGCUGAUAGUGAAACUCAAACCCGAGCUUCUCUUGAACAAGGCGAACGAUCUUUACUAGCUGUGGCAACUCUUAUUGGCUUUAUGGUUAGUCGCUAUUCACUCAAUAAUCUAAAAUACAAAACGUCCCAAUGUCAUAACUGAGGGAGUAUUAUAAUUUUGAUUUUGAUUCAAUGUCCUCAAUAAUGAUAGUUGGAAUGUUACAGAAGAAAUAUGGUCCUUGCAGAUUCUCAGCAAGACACAUGUUUGUAGUUGGUUUUGAGUAGGCCUGUUCAUCGGCGGGUCUAGACCCGGAUCCGGAGCGGAUCCGUGAAAUUAUUGUGGGUAUGGGUAUGGAUUUAAUUCCAUUCCCAGAUCCGUUUUGUCAAACAAAAAAACGGGUCGGAUACGAAAUAUAGUAUUCCGACCCGUAUUAGAUCCGGAUUCGGAUAUAAAUGAAUUAAUAAUUUAAAUAUAUAUAUUUAUCAAUAUAAUUUGAUUAGGGUGAUGUAUUUUAAUAAGUUAAUUUGAUUUCUUUUCUUAUUGGGUUUUUCUUUGCAUUAGUUAGAAAUUAGUUUACAAAUAUAUUUUUUUCUCAUUUUAAUUAGAAAUUAUAAAUUUUGAUAAAUUUGUUCGGGUAGACCAGGAUCCGGAUCCGGAUCCGGGACCCGCCGGAUCCGGAUCCGGAACAUAGAAUAAAAGACCCGUCGGAUAAACGAGUCGGAUCCGAAUCCGGCAUAGUAAUUCGGGUCCGAGCCCGAAAUAAUGAAUUUCGAUCGAAACCCGACCCAUUGACAGCCCUAGUUUUGAGUGCUUUGGAAUCAUAAAUCUUCUUAGGUAGGACUCGUAAUUGUGUAUCUCAGGAAAAGUGAGCAGUUCUAGAAAUUCUCCAGAAAUGAUGGACGACUUGUCCAAUUUGCUAUUUCUUGAUUGCCGCCAAUGCCAAUUGGUAACAUCAUCAGCACCUUUCAUAUCUCUUGAAAAAGAGAAUGAUGGACCGGACCCGCCAUUGUUCAUUUCUUCAUCAAAAUGGACAUUAUUGACCAUAACCAACCAAACAACAAAAAGUUGUUGCCCGCGGAUAAGGAAACUAUAUAUGACGAGACGUAAUUGUAAAAUUUAUAACUAUCAACACUCUCGAGUGUUGACUACAUAUUUUGAUUCCAAAUUUCGUACUAGUAUUGGAUGUUUUGUGAUUUUUUUGUGUCAGUUUUCUCAAUGUUGCCUUCAAAUUUUUUUUUUAAAUUAAUACAUGUUUCACUCAUUAUAACAGUAGAAUAAAAUAGAUAAGACUUAAAAAAAUAAAAGAAAUCAAUAUAGAAGUAAAUUUCUUACUGGUUUUAAAAAUUAGAUUGUGCUAGAAACUAAGAGAGGAUCUCAAGGCAAAAAAAAAAAAAAAAGAAAAAGAAAGGGAAUCACUAACAUGGACGUUAAUAUAAAUUUACUCUUAUUCUCGAGGUGGCAUUUAGGCUUUUUUUUCCUUAAUUUUUUUAACAUUAAUGGUUCCUCAACUUUGAAAAGGUGAUUUAACUAUUUUUUUUGAGUAGGCAAAAAAAGGUUUAAGAAUUCUUUUGGGAGAAGAAUGAUUUAAAAUACGUGUAUCAUCAAUACGUGUCCUUAGUAAGAAUCUCAUUUUAUUCUUUUUUUUUUUUGAAGUUUUAACAACUACUAACAAAGUAAAAAAUAAAUAAAUAUAGCAUACUACAAAAUAAAAUGAAAUAAUUAUUUUUUUUGCUAUAUUUUGUUUUUGUAGUCUAUUGUAUUUUAUUUCUUACCCGGUUAAGAGUUAUUGAAACUUUAAAAAGAAAAUGAAUUAUGAAAAUGAGACGGGAAAAAUUGAAAAAAAAAAACACACACACACAACACCGUAAUGGAAAGAUACGUAAUGCCUGCGCAGUAAGAACUAGUGUUCCAUUCUCAGUACUUAUCGGACCUACAGGCCGCAUUAUGCGCAUGUUCUUCCACUAUCAGCAAAAAAAAAUUAAGGGAACUAGUGGUGUUCUUUUUAUUGUUUCAGCCGUCUGGACUCUGAACUAAGUUCAGGCAAUAAUAAUGAAGGAACAUUCAUGGCUUUGCACUUUCAUCACACAGAUUUCCCUCUGUUUCUGUGUUUACCUAGCAUUUAACAUGGGUGACAGAACUGAGAGUAGCAGCAGGCCUGUUGAGACGUACUUUAUGAGUGUUGCAGGAGGUUUUAGGCCUGAAAAUGAACAGACCCUUCUUCUCAAACUGGUCAGUUUCUCGUAGUUUGCAUGGCUUUCUAUUGGUAAUAAAGAAAAUUUUGUGCUUUUUCAUCCCUUUUCAUUAGAUACCGGGUUUUUAAAUUAGAGGUUUGGAUUAUUGGGUUUGAACUGUUGGUCUAAUCUGUUUUAUUUGGUGACUUUGAAGGUUGUUUCUUGGCUGAUUUAAUUACUGCUUUGUUGUUAGAUUAUGGCCGAAAGGCAUUCUUGUACAGAGAUCAUUUUCUAUUGUUCAUCUGACAGUACUAUUACUGAUAGGAUUUUCUCUGUAGUUUUAAUAUGAAUGUUUGUUUAUUAGCUGUUCCAAUUUAAAGCCAUCCAAUUAUGCGGUGAGAGUUUUGCUUAUAUUGUCAUCUUGCUUUUGUGCUUGAUUUGACUGGAAAUUUCGAUUCUCUGUAAUGUUGAUGCAGAUGGAGAAGGUGGCAAAAGUGUACAAAGUACAAUUUGUAGUGAGCAUUAGUGAACUUGGGAAAUGAUCCUCUCGCCUGAAUGUAAGGCAUGACUUUUUAAUCGUUUAAAUGCACCUUUAUGCUGGAUUGUUCACCCAGUUCGAAGUUACCUAGAUAAGCACAAUUAGGUAAAAUUUGCUUGGUUAGACGUGUACAUAUUGAAAAAAUGACAGGCAAUCAAUAAACUCAAUACAGGAAUCGCUAACAUUAGAAACUAGCAAUGGAUAUUUUCUCAGUCACCUACCUACCUGUCUCCUGCAGAAAAGAUUACUGUUUUUGAUAUUGCUGUAAAUAUAUGUACUAAUGGUGGAACUGAUUUCGUCUGCUGUUGUAAUAAAUUCUACUUCUUCUCAAAGUACGGUUUACUCUUGUGAGGAACGGUUGUUUGUAGUCACCUACACCUGAUUUAUUUGUGCCAAAUAGUUUCAUGAAUCUGAUAAUUUGUGCAUGGUUCAUCAUCUCUUGAAGUUUCCUCAUAUAAUUCCGUUCUGUAGAGCAAAAUACAUUUCAUCUUGAACUUGUUCUUUUGAAGUAUCCUUGUGGUAGCAAAAUUUAGUUUUAUAGCAAAAAAUUACACCAGUCACAUUAUGGGUCUGAUUGGGAUCUCAUCAGUUAUUUAGGAUCUUGUUUUUACUUGGUAGUUUUAGCUAUAAGCAACUAAAAUGCAUUCUUUCCUAACAGGCCACGUGGUAUUUUCAGUCUCUAAAACUUCCCUGGUAUACCAUCCUUUACCAUGUCUGACUUUGGCAGUCUUAGUUGGAGGUUCAAAUUUGUUUAAAGUCCUUUUUCCCAAUUUCUCUUCAGCUGCUGUAACUUGUAGGUACACAACAAAAUCAUUCAAAGGACAAAGACCUGGUUCCUACCUCAAGCAUACAAAAGUUCAAUAUGGGAAAACCUUAGAUAUUGUAAUUGUGAAUACAGAGUUAUUUCAGGUAUGAAUCAUGCUUAACACAUGAACUUGAAUAUUCCCUUUCUUGCAAAUAAUAGUAGUCAUUUAAUUUUCUGAUGUAUCAUUAAAAGUCAAUUGAUGUUGAGGGUACAUGUUUUUGGUUUGUUUGAUUGGGAACAGUUCGUAUACUAGCAGGGUCAAGGUAGGGUUGGCAACCCUUGACUUUUCAAAUAGUGCUUUCUAGUUCUUUGAAUCUACUGUUGUGUUUAAGGGGUAUACAUCAUAGAAAUCUGCAGAAGAUCCUGUCCGUAAUUGGUGGCCCCAGUUUCUGUGCUAGAUGCAUCUAUACUAUGAAUUAGUUUCCCCAUUUCAAGAUUUUGCCUCCAUCCCUGUUUUCAGUGAAACCAUUUAAGGACAUUACCUGAAGUGUACAAUUUUGAGACAUGGUUUUGAUGCAUGGUUCUGAUGAUGAAUUGAAAUGAAGAAGAAAUACCAUGUGCAGGAAUGCUAGAUGCAUGAGCCUAAAUGAUACUCGAAACGUGUUAUUCUCUUCGGAAAAUAGAUCAUAUAAGAACCUGGAAAUCUCAAGGAAAAACCAAGUUUCCCAGUAAGAUGGACAUGGAAAUUAUCAAAGCUAAGGAGAAAGUGGCUUAAGUAGCAUUUACUUUUGUCUUACAAUUGCCUGGGGAUUUGGAUUUGAUCUUAUUCUUUCUUUACUUGAACAUAAUCCCACCAUUCACUUUAUACCUUCUAAACUUGUUUGGUUUUAAGGGGAGUUCAAUGUACUAAUUAAAAGUUCAGGUCAAUAUGUAUAAAUGUUCAAAUUCGGAAGCAAAAAGCCUACAUUCAAGAGAUUACAUCACAUGGUAGGCAUUGAAAAUGUUCAGUUUCGGAAUAAAGAGAUGCCUAUAUAUAUUACACAUAAGCGGUUCUCUUGCCCUCUCCAAAAGCAUGGUUCGCAAUAUGUUUCAGUAUCGGCUGAGUUGUAACCGGAACAGAGGGACCGGUUUUAUACCCAUCCCGAAUCGCGAAUAUCACUAUAUCCACGACGACUCGCUCUGACUCGGCCGAUAUUGGCCGAUUCAAAUCCGUGAUGCAUGAUAUCGGCCGAUAUAUCCAAGUCAACUCGGAAUUGACUCAGAUUUUUUUAAAAUUGUGUCUUUUUUUGGUAUUUUCUAAUUUUAGUAAUUUUUUAAAAAUUUUUGGAAACUUUCAUGUGCUAUAUAUGUGCAUAUCACCCAAUAUUCAACCGAUAUGCCGCGAUGGAUGUGGAACAACCAAGACCGCGACACAACCGUGACCCGCGAUGGCGAACCAUGCCCAAAAUUAUGCUCCACUGUAACUGCACAAUCCCUGUUAUUAAGCUCUUCUCAUCCGUCUUAUAGCCCCGCAUUUAUGAGUUUUGACAGGUUUCCUAGAACUAGAUUUCACUUGAACCUUUUUAUACCUAGGUCCCACCCUUUUGGCAGUCCUUGCCUAAUGUCAUAGAUCAGCUUGAGUGAUGAAAGAGCUACUAUGUUUUGCUCCGUACUUGAACCAGCUAAUUGUUAAUCUUGUAAUGGUGUCCGCAACUGUUAAAUGAAUAAGAAGAGAAGAAGAAACAUACUUCCAUUUCCUAGUGGACCAUUAUGGUCCUUAGCUGCAUACUUCACUAACUAUUUUCCUGCACUCUCGUUUUCAUUACCUCUUAACAAACUUGUAUUCUCCAGGGCCCUUCAGCUGGUGCUAUUGAGCAUCAGUUACUGUGGCUCAUGAAGACACUGGAAGAAAGCACCAGUGACUGGUAAGCUAUAGCUGGUAAGAUAUUUAUUGGAAAUGGACAAAAAUUAAUUUAAUGUGAACAAUGAUGUGGCUUAUCUUCCUGGAAAUAAGAUUGUCAACUUUGGAACCAAUUUCAAGGGUAAAUGAAAAGUAGCUUUUUUCUUCUGAAAAUUUUUUGCGCAACUAUUGUGUAGCUUAGUUGUAUGACUAUGCAGUAAAAGAAUAAAAAACCAAUGGUCUAAAGCUUAGAAUCUUGCACUACUUCUUAAAGAGGAUUACAUUUCUUCUUUCAAGGCCUGUUGCUACCUUCCGUGGCAGCUUGCUCCAUACUUUUUACAUUCAACCCACUGUCAAUUAUUAACAUCUUCUGGUUUGCUUUUUGGUUUUCCUAUUGGGGCAAAAGGCGCAUUGUUGUUGGUUUCCACCCACUGUUAGCUUGUAAUGGAAGUACGGAAGCUAAAGACAAUCCUCUGUGUCUUCAUGAAAUGUUUUUGAAUCAUCGAGUGGUGAGUGGUAGUUUUGGCAAUCAAAUUCUGUCCAUAGCAUUCAAAUAGUAAACCUUCAAUGCAAACACCUAUUCCCAAAAUUCCUGACAUAACUGAAUUCAAAGGCCCAUACUUCUCUGAUGUUUCAUGUAUCUUCAAGCUUCCUCCUGAAUCUCCUGAAUCUUUGCAUAUGAACUUUGUCCUAGUAGGACGCUUACCUCAGUGGCCAUGCUUGUACCGAACAUGUUCACAAACAGAGUGCAAAACAGCCUGGUAAUGCUGAUCAACCGGGCAAAGGACCUUGUCUUACUCCAAUUCGUAGGAUAUUUGAUCAAAACAAGUGAGUGCUUCAUCCUUGUUCUAAUCUUCUAAGGUGAUGUUUAUGCCUGAAGCAUUAUUGAUAACCAUCUUCUACUGUUUUGUAUCUUUUCCAGGGAAAAGGUGAAUGGUUUGCUUCUACACAGAGUCAGUUCCUAGAACUGGUGAGUGUUAACAUGUUAUGAUUUGUCCUUUGAAUAAUCUAAAUUUUGAACUUCUGUAACCUCCAAUUUUUUUUUUUUUAUAACAGGUAACUUAUUCAAUAAACUUGGAGGGGGAUGUUGCACACAAGAUUGAACUUCAACAAAGUGGUAGAGAAGCCAUGUGAUGUGCUCAAAGACCUUAUAAUCAUCCCAAAGCCUUGGUGCUUGUUUUGCUCUACCUUUUGUCUUCUGUAUAGAUUUUCAAUUAUUUUCAUAAUUUUAAAUACCAUGUCUUUGAUCUCUUUCUGAGUUUCUGGCUUAACAGUAACAAUCUUUGAUUUGGUUCCUGAGGUACCAUAUUAGGUCCUGCAAUUUAAGCAUACUGAGUGGUACAUUUGCUGGAGUUGUUUCUUGUACCCUUUAUGAGAGGCUUGUUAUUCUUGCGUCUGGUCUUUGUGGAUAAGGUCAGGAGAUACACAUCCUUUCCACUACCAAUUGAUAUGCUAAAAGUCUUCCCUUUCCAAGAUAUGCAACCAUGAGCAAGUCAUUCCUUCCAAGAUAAAGUUUUGAGCACUCCUAUUAACAUGACCUUACAGAAAACGGCUGAAUUAUAUGGGUAAAAUUUUUGCAUGUUGCCCCCUUAUAUACCAAAUAACUUUGAAGAAUCUUGAUUUACAAAGCAUGUGAAUGAACGUUCUUUAUUCGAAACUGUAGAGAGAUAGAAUUUUCACAUAGUCGACCUUUUGUUUUCUAGUCAAGUCCUACAAAUUUAUUCACUAGUAAGUUGUAAAAUUCUAAAGUUGUCUUGACAUUAUCAUUCCGAUGGGAUUAGAAACUGGGCUGUACAGUCUUCCAGUCGCUUUAUUUUUCUAUACAUACGUGUUAAUCGCCUUGCUUCUAAGUUACUCUUGAGCGUAUGUUGGUUUUGGCCGACUUUAAUUCUUAUGUAUGUGAACUGUUCUACUAGGUGCGGUUUUGGUGAUAUAGAAUAGAGCUGGUUGCCUUCCAAAGGGCCUUGGUGCAAUUCUUUCUUGAUCUUUUUGUGCCAUGAUCAUAAAUCUCCGACAAGUGGAAUUAGUCUUUCUAGGUAUUCACUUGUUGGAUUGUAGAAAUUGAUCCUAGGGUCUCCCAAUUGUCAGGUUCCAUAAAUUGUAGAGAAAUGAUCCUAAGGUCUAUUGUUGGAGAAAUUGAUCCUAGACUAUUUUGUUAAAUUUUGUGUUCAAGAAAUUGAUCAUUGUCUCCUGUUGAAUUUUGGAGUCCUCGAACAUCGAAUAUACUGGGGUUCUCAACUUCAUAAAAUUUGCCUAAUCAGCAAAUCGGCCAAAGAUAUCAAGGGAGGGAUCCUGUAGAGAUUAUACUCGAAGUUAUAUUGUGUUUGGUGUUGAACAGUUGUCUAAGUUAUUGGUUGUGCUCGCCUCGAUUAAGCCAUCUGCCAAGUGACACCCAAUCCAAUGUAUGAAGUUGGAAGGGAAGGCGGCUAUGAAAGGGAGGCGAAGCAGAGUUGACAACUACCGAGAUUGAUCCUCUGCACACCGAGUCAUGGCACUCACAUUGAUCCUCAGCGCACCCACGAAGAGCCCCCCCCCCUCUCUUUUAUGUUCCAAACUGCUAUUCGCUACUUACUAUUAAACGAUGCAAUAUGUUUUACCUUUUUAAGUAGUGGUGUGUAUUAGUUACUUGUUUUGAAGUUUUGCUUCUUAUUGAGAAACUAUGUAUAGUUUUGAGAUGCAGGAAAAACCUGUAGGUCCUUGCACCAUAUAUCUAGUCUUACAAUUCUGAGGUAUCACUGUUAACAAUUCUAGAUCAUCAACACUUGCAUAAUGAGGCUGGCUUAGGUAAUACACCUAAAUAACUGUAGUUGUAUGGCUGGAAACCUUGAGGUACCCAGUCCCUUUGCUAUUUCGAGACACACUGCUGGCACAGUGGUCUUUCUUUCUGCAACAUUCAACCUUCCUCCAUCUUAAAUCUGAUCAUUGAGUAUAGUGAGUAGGGUCCAUCCUAAUAGGAUUAGAUUUUGAAGAAUCUAAUGUUAACAAAUGAUGAAAGAAGUAAUAUGAACUUUUACAUCUGGAUUGAAGUCAGUUGAUCUCAGCAUAUGUAGAUGACAGCUUUGACCAAAUUAAGAAUAUAUUUUACUCAUUGUUAAUUUGCACCUCACUUGUAAUUUGGAAUUCUAGCAGAAGAGAAGUUUGUUUGACAAGAAAAAAUCGGCUGAAGCUGAUAACUUAAGCAUAAAGUAAAGCAGGUUGACUCACUUAAAACUUUGAUUUUGAAAAGAAGUAGUGAUAGUAUGCAUGCCCUUUCAUCGUGAUAGAACAGCAGUUCAAGUUUGACUGUUACAUAGGCUAUCAAGUGAUGCCCCAUAUUGGUUGAUUACAUGAGCCAUACAAAUGAGAGUGGAUAAUAUAUAAGAUUAGAAAUUCAUAUAGAAUCAUCACUUCUACUUACCAUGUGAUUAAGCAAUAGAUUUGUUCAUGUGGUAUAGUAUUGUGAAGAAUUUGGUUUAGUGAUCUCCUUCCUCUCUCUACUCCUCCAUACCUCACCAACCAAUGCCAAGCCACCAAAAAUAAGUAAAUAAAUUGAUUGAAAUAGGAAACAGAAAGUGUAACAAAUCCAGAAAAUUGUAACUUAAGUAAGAAUAUUUGACUGUGAACCGAUAUGUGAAAAGAUUAUCCUUCAUUGUACUCUUGCUUUGGGAGGAAUGCAGGCGUUCAUGGAUCAUACAUGCACAAUAUCUCAUGGAAUCAAUUCAACCUAUGAAGAUAAUUUGUUUUUUCAUUCUUAGCUUUGCGAUAUAGGCCUUUAGUAUGUCCAUUUGAUACAUUGGUGCUUCAUCUCAUAAUAUAAUAGAUAUCUUUUCCUUGCAUAACUUGUAUUAGUGGUGUAUUGCUUGACCUUUCUUACUAGAUGACAUUGCUGCAUAUUGUCUUCGAUGAUACUUACUUUUCAACACUAUAAUUUCUAUUCUGUUGCCAUAAAAUUUGAAGUGCUUUUAGAGCAACCUGAUAUUUGAAAACUUUGGGGAAUAGUUCUAUUAUGGACUCAAUCCAAUACUGCUCUUGAUAAGGGAAGCAAAUGAAACCACCGUAUUUGCACCUUAGGAUGUCCUUGUCUCUCCUUCAGAAGGGGGAAGUUGGUCAAAUUGUACAGUUAAUGUAGUUUACGGGGAAUAUCAACUGUUUUUUGAUUUACCUGAAGUAUAUUCUAAGUGCACCUUGUAUAUUUGCUAUCACAACCUUUUGGCCUUUUGGUAAUUGAGGGGUCAUUUGGUUUAUGAGAUGAUGCAGGAUUGCAUUAUUAAUCGUGUCAUCCUGUUUUGCUGUGUUUCUGGUUGGGAUCCAUUAUCCCAUUCUCAAAUUUUGUCCUAUAGACUAGCAAUACAUCCUUGUUAUUGAUGUGCAAACCAAACUUAUUCUCUUCCGUUUUGAUUUCCCUGUAUAUAUGUGUGUUAUAUCCACUCCAAUUGUAUUAUCUGCUCUUUUGUAUUUUAACGUGAUUGUGAUUGAUAUGGUUUUGUGUUGUAAGUAUUUGAUGGUAAUAUCUUGGGGAAGAUCAAAUAGAGGCACACAUAAAAAGAGAUGCACAUGGACAACCACACACACAUGCAGGUUUUUUUUGGGGGGUUUUUGAGGGGGGGGGGGGGGGGGGGAGAGGUGAAGGACCGCUUAGGAGAAUGAAAUGGUUUUGGGAGCUCAAGCAUCUUCCUCGUGUCAAUCUCCAUACCUUUGUGACAGAUGACUCCAAAGUCGUCUUAUGAUUUUUUUGGCAAGCAAGACUGACUUAGUUUGACCUUCUGUGGGGGAGAAAAGGGGCAAAGAAUAAAUGAAGGUGAAAAAACAGAGGAUCAUGUUAAUAAACAUCAAACUUAAGAAGAUCUUCAACAAAGAAAAUGGCUUGUCACCCUAUAGAUAUAAUUGAAUGCAACAUCCAGGAAAAAACAGACUUGGUUUGUGUAGCUGUACUUAGUAGCUGAUUUAUCGUUCGUCUUUUGGAUGUUUAUUUUUAGUUUGUGUCCUUUUUGCCAAAUAGUCGAUAAAGAGCUGAAUUGGAAUGCAAAGGGGAUUGUGAAUAAUAGUUAAGUGCUUGGGUAAUAUCUAGUUAGGAGGGAAAGGAAUACUGAGGUCUUUUAAGUUGCUCCUCCCAAAUAGUUAAUGUUACUGAGUUCUAGGGAAGCGGCCUUCUUUAUGUUGGUAUCUGCUGUUUGUUCUUAAGCUUUAUGUUGGACUGGGUAACCUAGUUAGAAGUAUAUAUUGGCUUCGAGUGAAUAAAGAUUCAGUUCAUGAUCAAAUUUGACAAGCAACGUUUUGAUGUACGAUGUGUUUUCUCCCAGUAAUUAUUAGUUUGGAAUUCGAUAGACAGAACGAAGAUAUCUGAACUCGCUGCAAUCAUGCUUGUGCUAUGCUGUCAUCUUUUUGACAAAGAUGAAUCAUUUUGAGAUCAACAUCUCCCAUCUUUAUCCCACGAACCUUGCCUUCGUUGCAUUGCAUCAUGUGCUGACAAAGUUUGUGAAGUGCUGAAGUCCCAUCCAUCAUCUUUUGCAGUGGGACAGCAGAGCAUUUUUUACAAUUAUGUUCAUGGGAUAAGGUAAAAAUUGAAAUCGGGCAUUUUGUUACUGUUAUUUAGCAAAGGGAAGCGUGGACUUCUGGUGUAAAAAAACAAAAAAACAAAAAAAAAAAAGGCAGACGGGUUGCUUUAGCUGAUAUCAAUGAGAAAAGCCAAUUUUCUGCUGAAACUACAGAUUCAAGAUGUGCAGUUUACAUAUUGUACUCUCAAAACACUACUACUGUACUAUAAUAAGAAGAAAAAGUUUGCCCUGUGGUGUGGUGCUCUUCCCAUUCACGACACGGAUAGACUAAUGGUAGAAUGCUGCUGCUCCCAUCAACUUCAGUCAAUGAAUUUCCGGAAACGCAACUUCCAACUUGGAAGUCACGGAUUACGAUGGUUUCUUUAAGAUUUAAUAACUAAAAAAUUGUUAGGUGGGAAAUUCAUAUACUACAUUUUAUUACAGCUAAAGAUAGCACUAGAAGUCUUUUCAUGAUGGUGAAAGUUUGAAUCUGAGAAAUCUAUCUUCAAUUUUUUUUUUUUCCUUCCCAAACGCUAUCUUCAAUUUUGUUUUGUAGUUAAAAUGUGUACUCAGCACCACCAUGGUUUUGGACCUCAGCCACUUUUUGAGGUCUAUUCUGCCGACUUAUCGUCCAUGAUUUGAUUUCAUAAUCAUACGUCAAUGACAAAUAAAUGGAGCAUCUCUAAUUCCUUUCCCUUUGCUUUAAUUAAAUGGUGUCUUUUGCUAUUUUCUUUUUUUAAUAAUCUUUUUUUUUUAUUCAUUAGUCAUCUAAUGAAAUUAGUGGCUCUAGAAUGAAGAGACGAUGUGAAAAUUAAAAAAAAAAUAGAAAAGAGGAAAGAAGGCAAAGAAAAAUCGAAAUUAAGAUUAAAGAGAGGCAAUUUUGUCUCAUGAGGUAAAGCGACACAACUGAAAGGUUAGGAAAUAAGGUGAGAAUGAGGCCAUACCUAAAGGGGAUUUAUGGUAAUUAACCCUAAAUUUCUACUUCAAAUGAUUUGAGAAGGUCAUGAGUAAAUGCAUCCCAACAUUAUUAUUAAUAUUUUCUUUGUGGGAGAUAGAUGUCUAAUUCGAAUUAAUAGGUGACUUCUCGUGGUGAAGUGCGGGUUUUUUGAGUUCAAAAUGAUUUUUGGGCAUGCUACUUGAUCUUUAGAUGUCAAAAGGUCAUUGGACUGCUGUCCUUUCUUAUUAGUUGGUCUUGCUUUAGGAAAAGAGCUAGUAGUACUGUGUAGUUGGAUUUCAUGCUAUUAUUUCGAUUGGACUUUUGUGAUGAAACCUUUCGUUAUAGUUAUCAUAUUUGUCUAAACGGAAGGUUACAUGAUUUGUCAGAUCACCUAAGCAGGAUGUUAUCAUGUUUUCUCUUUUCACAUUUGCACUAAGAGAUGAGGCUGCAAAAAUUUCCUUGUCAAUUCGUUUCCAAAAAAAAAAAUUUUUUUUUUUUUGAUACAAAUUGCAAAGAUUUUGGUAACACAUUAGUUUAGCAAUAAUUUAAAAAUCUUACUAGCGGGUUUAAACUAUAAUGGAAAAUCAUACUGGGCUUCAGAAAAAUGUAGCACUAAAACUAAUUAUGAUUACUAGCGGGUUUAAAAGAGUAAAGUGAUAGUGCCAAACUAAUUAUGAUUUUUCUCUUUUUUUUUUUAUAACUGGGAGAUUUUGAAUUCAAGAACUCAUGCUUACAAUCAAAUCAAAAUUUGGUUUUGCGUAUUAUGCAGUCAGCAAUCAAGUAAAACCUUCUUUGGCAAAGCUAAGUUUGUUUGCUACAAGUCUUUUAACAAUUUUAGCUGCAAUAAUCUCAAAAAAUUUCUCAAAGUUUUUAAACUAUACAUUUCAAAAUAUCCAAAAAAUUACACACUUCAAAAAAAUUUUCUACAGCUUCUACCGUAAGUUACAAAAAAAUUUCCACAUGAGACCUAACUAAGUUUAACAAUUUCCACAGUUAUUUUUGUUGCUCAUCCUGAUGAGGCCAAGAGAUAUGAUGCUUAAAUAACUAGUCUUCUGAACACCACCAAAACCAAUUAAUUAAUUGUUCCGGUGAAAACAGUUAUCUAUCUAAAAGUCAAAGAAUCACAAUCUUAGAAAGAAUAGGUUCUGUGGCUGUCAAUGAGUUAUCACACGACAAUUCUUGAUCAAAAGUAAGACCAGCUAAUCAGUCACUACUGGAGAAGGAUUAACUUUUCCCGAAGUUAAUUUAGGUUUAGAAAAAGAAGUCUUUUGGUAUAAAUUUCCUUACGGGACAAAAUUCAAUGAUGACAACAACCAUUCUGGUUUUUUUUUUUAAAUUUUUUUUUUGUUUUGGUUGCUGUGGGGGGGGGGGGGGGGGGGGGCUCUGAAGUAAGUGGUCUAAAGUGGUUAAGUUAAGAUGUGUUCGUUGACCAAAGCACCACAGCUCCUAUGAAGGCAACUUAAUUUAGGUAAGAAUUCAGACAUUUGAGUCAAUGGCUUAGGGAGAAUUCUUUGUAAGUUUAUCUUUGGACUUUGUGUGUUUCUCGUUUGUAUCAAGUUGUCAAUUGGACGAUUUGGACAGAACUCAAAAGCAGCCGAAAUUAGCAAAUCAACAACAAGAAACAAGUUUUCAUUAUUGAGAACUGAGAACCCAAAAGCAUUGACAAGAAAUGUUUAAUCUCUAAGCCUAAAAAGAAGGACAGAAGUCUUUUAUUGUAACCAUGCACUUAAGGUUUGAUUUCGCCAAGCUCUACCUCCUUGAUGUCUAUUCCCAUUUACGUAUUAAAAGGAUUGUUUUUUUUAUUAUUAUUAUUUGCUUUAGUUAUUUUCUUACCUUUUGGAUUUUUUUUUUUUUGGAGAAUUGAUCACCUUUUGGAAUUCAUUCCAAUUAACUAUGAGUUUCAGAUUAAGAACUUUUGUUUCGUCUAUUUCCUCAAUAAUCAAUUGAUCAUGACUCCGAAUUUGUUUACGUGCAUUAGAAUAACUUAAUGGCACAAUUAAAUAUUCUUUAAAUAUAUGUCAUACAUGAUUUAUAAAAGGGUAAAAAAACAAAAAAGUCCCCGUGGUAAACCUAAUAUACAGAAAAAAUCCUCCGUGAUUUUAAAACGUACAACACGAGACCUCAUGUUUUGAACUAAAUUGUUAAGAUGACGGAAUCCGUUAAACUUAACGAAAAUGGAUGAAAUGAUAAAAAUGUCCUAAUAUAAUUAAGCAAAAGACAGGUCAACAAAAUUAUUUGUUUUAUCCUCUAGAGAAAGAAAAUUAAGAGUUAAGGGGAAAAACAGGUAUAUUUGUUAAAAAUUAGAUAUAAUUUUUUUUUUAAAUUCUAAUAAGCCAUUUCCGUCAAGUUUAACGGAUUCCGUCAUCUUUACAAUUUAGUUCAAAACAUGAGGUCUCGUGUUGUACGUUUUAAAACCACGGAGGAUUUUUUCUGUAUAUUAGAUUUACCACAAAAGGUUUUUUUUUAUUUUUUACCCUUUAUAAAAGUGUAAAUUGGUCAUUAAUUGCUUGAGUAUUGCAAAAAUUGAAUGGGGUCAAUUUGAUGAAAAAAAAAAAGAAAGAAAGAAAACGCUUCUGUUAGAGGUCCGAAAGUGAUGGAAAACAAAGGGUGUCUUUUACAUAAUUGACCAACUUGGAACUUUUUUGGAAAAUGAUAAAAGCAAGAUAUAAUGUACACACUAAAAAUUAAUCUUCUUCUUCUAAUAAGCUGGAGAGCACUGGAUUUAUUCCGAAUUACUCAAAACAAGAACUGGAUUUUGUAAUGACCAUACAAGAGACGAAUAUUUUUGGAUUCUUCUUGAAAGGUACGUGCGUGUUGUGGAAGGAUAGAAUAAGGGCGACUUUGCUUAAGAGAGACAAUUGGUAUAAUUAAACCUGUAAAUGCAGGUGAGUUAAAUGUGUUUGCUUCCCGUGUUGUCUAAUGCAUCAUUGGGCUCCAAAGGUAAGAGAAGGGGGGCGGGGAGUCCCGUCUAGCGUGUUCUCACCUUUUGGAAUGGCAUUUUUCUUCAAAAAAAAAUUUCAUAUUUUUCGUAAAUAUAUUUUUUUAUAAAAUUACUUUUUUAUCUUACAUACAUUAAAAUCGUUGUAAUAUAAUUUUUCUACAAAAAUUACAAGAAAAAGCAAUCCAAACAAUACACAGUCCAAUUCUUUUACGAAACUAUAGCAUAAUUGCUUCACUCUUGUCCCUUUCUCUUCCUCUGAAUUUUGAUAGUAUCCCCUUUAACUUCGUAAUUGUCCCCUAAAAGUGUGUGAACCCUUACGACCAUCUUCAACAUUUCUAUGAGGAAACAUUGAACUAAAAUAUAUAACAAGCUGAUACUUUUUUCCUUUCUAAUAAAUGUUAUUGUAACGCUGUGUGAAUUGAUUGAUUAUAUCAUUUAUUUUUUCAUACUAAAUUUUAUUUUAAGGUUCUGAAUUCUAAUCCCUCAUUCCCUUUCCCCCCGCUUAUACACACACGCGCGCGCACACACAAUCCCAUAUAUAUUUUAAAGUUUACGCUAAUCACUCCUAUACACUAAAAUAUAGGGGGAGAAAAAGGAAAAACUGACCUUGAGACAAGUAGGACAUUUUUACACAAGAUGGAUCUGAACCAUUAAUGUAUGUUUGGAUUGUCGAAUAAUUUAGCAGUUUAUGAGAUGCAAUUGGACAUGUCAAAUGAAUCUAUUGGCAAUCUCAAGCAUAAUAAUAGAGCCAUGAAACCCUAAAGAUGUGAGAAAUCCACUUCCAUUUCGUCCUUUAAUUUCCAUCUAAAGAAAGCGUUGACCUGAAUGGAUCACACACACAUGCACCACUUGCAGUUCCCUUUUCCUUUUCUCUGAAGAGCUAAAGAACCACGGACACAGACUAUUGUACUAGCUUAGCCAGAAUAAUUAAUUUAAACCUUCAAAAAAAAUUUUAAAAAGAAGGGAUAAUUAAGGUGAACCAUUGCUGUCAGGGACUUUUUCAAGGCAGCACGAGACCCUAUUUUGAUCCUUAAUCUCCGUAGUUAUUAUCUUGACUUAAUUCAUUAAUUAAUCCUGUUUCAAUCAUGUAAUUACUACUGAUACCAUCCAUUACAGUCAAAAUCAUCACAGCUCAUCCUCACAUCAUUAGUAAGAAAGCCCAGCACAUGAUCAUACCAAUAUUUAAUGUAAAGAAAAAGAAAAGACAUAAUUCUCAGUGAGUUGCAUAAACUUAUAAAAAAAAAAUAUUAAAAGAGAAAAGAAAAAGGAAUUCAUUUGGAAUUUUAGAUGGAUCUGUCCUCCUGUACUUUUGUUAGCUUCAAGUUAAGCUUCGCUUCCUCGUGCCAAGUCUAUCACUUCCAAAUACGGCGUCGUGCUGCUUACGCAUUUGGGUGGACUUGACGGCCGUCGACGAGAGUUUCAAACUUCGAAUCAAACGCAGUGCAGUCUUUCUCCACUAAACAAGGGUCAGUCAACAGUCAACGCCGUUACGACUCCCAACUUUCAAGGCUUGGAAACGGAAGCCGCGUCUUUGACGGAAGAGGGCUCUCCACCAGGUCCGCCACCACCGCUAACCAUCGUGGCUGACUGAACGGUCAACACCGACAUGCUAGGAGAUGAGGGCCCACCGGCUUCACCAACCCCGUUACCGCUAGCCCCACCUCCCAGCCCCAGAAGCGGGUUGUUAGCGCCAUUGCCGGUGAGACCGGGAUGCAUGGGAUUCCUGGAGUGACACGUGGCCGUAGAAAUGGCCGUAGCCAGAGAAAUAGGCAUGAGGCACAGCCCCUUACCCUGGAGAUACUGCAUGGCCGAUCCCAUGUCCUCUUCCAUUAGCUUAGCCACCUGGUGCUCCGUUACCGUCAUGCCAUCAUUAUUGUUGUUGUUCGAUGAUGACGCUGUUUGUGUUCCGUUACUGCUCCUUCCAUUCCCGCAGUCACCGCCUCCCUUUUAUAUUCAUCACAAACAACACACACACACACACCAAUGUACAAUCAAAUUAACCAAUUAUUAAACCACAUACUAUUAAAUUUCUUUUUUUUUUUAAAUAGAAAAUUUAGAUCAUUUUAGAAUUGCCAAUUUUUGGAAUGUAUAUGUAGAAGAAUGUGAGUACUAUAGUGAUUUAAUACAUAAGAAGAGAUAAAAUAAAAAAUGAUUUAAAAAAAAAUAUGUUGACGACGACAAAAAUGUGGUAAAAUUUUUUUUUUACUGGAAACCUACAAUCCAAAUGCAGCAGGCAGUCACUUGACUAUUAUUGAUUGCACGGAAACCAAAACCGGGGGUUGCUGAAUCAGCCAGCCGCCCAUGCCCAUGCCCAUGCGGGCAGGGGAGGGAGGUAGUGGUGGGGGAGGCAGUGGAAUGUGGAAAGCGAGCACGCGUGAUACACUUUUUGAUAAAUUGUCGUUUUCUAAGGAGGACAAGAAGCGUAUUUGAUUGAUUUUUUAAAAAAUGCAGGAGAAAAAGGUUAGAGGUGCGUGCGUGGUUGGUUUUGGAGAUGUCGACGAUUCCUGCUCCAACCUUUUUUCUGUUUUUGGAAAGAUUAAAAGGUUGGAGUGAGUUGGAGAGACAGUCAUCUUAUCUCAAUGCAAAAUAUUUUUUGUUUUAGCAGCUUAGCUCUAGGGAAAAGCAAGAAGCAUAGAGGUAAAUUAAUGCUGCCUAUUUUUGGUUUAAGUUGAAUUAGGUGCUUUUGGUAAAAGAAGAUUAGAUUGGCUAACGCAACAAUAAUGAAUUACUAAAAUUUGGUGAACGGAGACUUGUACAUUAGAUAGAUAGAUUAAUGUUCUGUGUGGAUUGUGUAUUUUUUAGAGUUUUAAUAGAAAAAUAUAUUGCAGUUAUUUAAUGCUAUAUGCAGGAUUUUUUUUUGGAAAAAAAAAAUGAUUAGAAAAUUGCAAUGCAAGAAAUAGAAUGUAGCAAGUACCUCAGAAGACAUAUCAGCAGCGAGGGGGGCAACAGCACCACCUAAUCUGCUCAUGCUCAGAACCUGCGUUACAUAUUGUAUAAUGACCACAGCUUAAACGGUUUGUUCAUCAUCAUCAUUAACCCCAAAAAAAAAAAUUGAAAAAAGAAAAGGUUUGGUUUUCAACUUUUCUAAUUAUCUUAAUCAAUCCCCAUUACUGUUGGUCACGGAAUUUCGCAAUAAACAACAACCAAAGAGAGGAAUUUUCUCGGACAACAAAAUAAGACGCCCCAUGUUCACCCCACCCCAUCUAAUUAAAACUAUAAUAAUAAUAACAGAAUUUGUCAACUAAAUAAAAGAAUCCCUCCCCACUUCUUCUUUUCUAAUAAAUAAAUACAGACAUCUACCCCUGCUACUCAUCUUCUAAUAGAAUACUACUAAAGUAAGGAGCGGAAAGGGGGGGAGAUUAGGAGUCAGUACUUUGACUUGGAGCUGGAGGAAUUUGACGUAGUCGAUGAUCUCGUCCAGCAUUGAAGCCUUGUCCGUCUGUCAUCCCCCCACCAAAUACAUCCAACAACAACAACACGGUAUCAGCCCCAUUUAAAAAUAGUAGCAGUGUGUGUUGUGAGCAGCAGUCAUACACUUAUCUCCAGUGUUAAAAAUAAGCACGAAAAAUGUUCGAUCCAUUAAAUCAAUCUGUGUGUACGAUGCGAUCAUAUGAUUCCAAUUUAAAUCACCUUUUUAUCUCUCGCAUAUAUUAAAUUACUACUACAGUAAUUUUUCUAUAAAAAAUUUAAAAAAAAAUACAAUCCAUACAAAGAAUAAAUUUUGUACAUGUGCUAGUAGUAAAAUAUUAUGCCCUGAUUUGUUCAUAAAAGAUUAUACCAGCAGUACUGAUAUAUAUAAUUAUACUGGCUAAAAGAUUCAAGAAAAAGGGAGGAAAGAAACCAGGAGUGCCGGUACAUCUGAGUCAGGGACUGUGCUUUUUUUUUUUAGGAGGAGUAGCUAUCAUCUGAUUAUGAAUGAUCCCUCUGUCACUCUAUCUGCUUUCCAGCUUUACAUUUUCAGGUACGCACGGAAAGAUAUAUACUGAACAAACUCCCCCCACUUUACCACAGUCUGUACUCCAGUGUACUCGCUCCCUUCAUGAUUAAAGUACAAAAUGUUGUCCUACCCCUACUAUUUUGCCCGCCCUAUGAUUUUCCUUGAACUUCAAUUCAAGAAACCCUCUUGCUUGUAAAUUCUUAUAUAUAUAUUUUUUAGAGCUUCAUGUUAUGGUACUAUCAUUGGAUUAAGCAGUUACACAAUUUGUGGAAGUUUAAUCAAUGAAAAAUUAAAAGUUAUCGCUAAUUCUUAGUAGUAUUAAUAGUCAACAAAAGAAAGAGACAGAGGGAGAAAGAUUAGACUGAAGCGAGUAGCUAGCGCGUACACCUUGUUUGCAUUGGGCACCAGUUCCUGCAGAGCCUUCAUUCUCUCUGCAAUUCUCUCUCUACGUAGCUGUCAUCACCCACAUUAUACAAACAAAUUCCAAAAACAGAAUCAGCAAAAUUCAGAAACUAGAAAACAAAUUGAAACAAGCGAAAAACAAGAAACAAAUUUUUGUACUGCUAGCCUAAUAACAGGACUGCAAAGUCACGGCUUCUAGUAUAACGUACUCUUUCAGCAAUGCUAUGUGGAUCCGUGGCUUGUCCUCUCCGGGCCCUCACCCUCUGCUGUCGUGGCUGCGCCGCCGCCGUCCCUCCUCCUCCGGCGGUUCCCAUUGAACCGCUUGCCGCGGCCUGGUUCAUUGCCUGGGCUCCAAAAUUUUGGGCUUGCAUCGCUCCGCCCUGUACAAAUUAAGCCAAAGACGCAAAUAAAACGAAAUCCCAUUUAUCAGUACAAGUUCCUUUUUAACAAACAAGGGGGAAAAAAGGUAGGGGAUGGUUUAGAUUUGAAAAUAAUCAGGAGAGAGACCUGAGGGUGGUGAAAAUGCUGAAGUUGAGUAGAGGGUUGAACAGUAAAUCCGUUGUAUAGAGCUUGAACUGAUGCAUCAUUUCCCUGUCAUUAAAUUCUCAGUUAAAACCCAUAUUUAAUACUACUACUAACAAAUUUUUAAUCAUAUAAACUGAAGAAUAAUUAAAUUAAUUAUAGACUCCUUAAUUACACUCUGCCAGAGAAAAACAAAAUGAACUCACGGGAUUAGCAGAUUUAAAGGGGGACCCGUCGACGAUGACUUCAUUCUGAUCGCCGUUACCGGCCAAAUUCAGCGGCGGCAUGGCCAAGAGGCCGCCGUUGGGGCCAGGAGGGGAUCUGAGGCCAUUUCCGGCGAGGCCCCGAGGGAGCAUUAACUGUUGAUGAAGCAUUAAAGCUUUGGCGCCGCCGAUCUGGUGCUGCCGGAGCUUAUUAGCCAACAAAACCGACUGGUCCUCGAGAGAACCCAGAGGGGUCUGGGACAAAGGGUCCCAGGGGGGCUGGGUUUUAAUAAGGUCAGGAGCAGGCCAGGAAGCGGUGGAGAUGGAAGAAAGCAUUUGUUCGAGGAAGUCGUCGUGGGACGACGUCGUCGAGUCGAAGUGGUGGUGGUGCUGUUGUUGUUGGCCGUUUUGGAGGUCGUGGAGUUGUUGGUUAAGGAGGGAAUUCAUGGCUUGCAUUUCUCUGCUACUGCUACUACCGGGUUGCAUUUUCUGUGAACGUAGGAGAAGUUCUUGAGCCUUAAAUUUCACGAAUAACGAGAGAACUUAAGCUAGCAAGUGAUUUGGUCUUCUUUCUUUUCUACUAUACGAUACGAUGAUUUUCGGCACUCGCGGGACGAGAGAGAGAGAGAGAGAGGACUUUAGUUGUCAACUGUGCUACGAGACUCGAAUAGAAGUCGAGAAAUAGUAGGAAGUGGCAAGUGAUGGAGGAAGAAAGGGCUGUUGUUACUGGUUUUUG